GCCCAUCAUAACUUAAUUUUAAUACAUUGAAAAUACCAUGAUGUUGGCCCUUUUUCAACUUUUGCAACUGACUUUCCCAUGCUUCUUUUGUUCUGUCACAAAGCAAUGAGCCCAAAAUCUGGAGAGCUAACGGAAUCCCUUUUGCAUAACUCAACACCUUUCCUGACAGUUCCUUGUAAGCAAUUUCUUCUGAAGAUUUUUGUUUAAAAGCAUGUAAACUAAAAAGUCUUAGAGAAUCAUCAGAAUUCAACUCCUUAACUUCGUAGAUAUCAUCAGCUCUAGCAUUCUUAAGCACUUGUCUGUCUCUACUGGUCAUAAUGAUUCUACUGCCCUGCCUAAAACUAUCACUCCAUCCUAUUAAUUUUUGAAGUUGAGCUGAAUCGGUAACAUCAUCAAGAAUGAGGAGAGCCUUUGUCCGUUUGAGCCUUUCUUUGUAAUAUGGUAAAGAAGAAGAUUUCUCUUCCUUUAGAAGCUCAGACAGAUAUUUUGUUCUGAUACUAUCUAUUCCAUCUCUUUGUAUUUUUUCUUGAACGUCUAAAACAAGGCUGCUGGAAUCAAACUGCAAUGCCAAUUUCUGAUAUAUUUGAUCACAAAUUGUACUUUUUCCUAUUCCUCCCAUGCCCCAAAUUCCUAUGAUCCGAACAUCCGGUGACUCAGGAUGCAACAAGGACUGAAUUCCUUCAAUAUGUUUUUGAAUGCCGAUGAUUCCUUGAUCAUAACUGGUGGAAUAAAGAUUCAAUUUUCCCAAAAUAUCUUCCACAAUUUUUUCAACAAGUUUGUGGUCAUUCCUGGCAGAUGAUUUAGAAAAUAAAGUAUAAGAAUUCAAGCACAAAAGCUAAACUAAACUAAAGAAAAAUUCAGAGUCAAGAGGAGUGAACAUCAUUGAAUAGAUUCACAUAUCGAUUCUAGUUUCGAGUUCUGGAUAAAAUAAAUAAAUUAAAAAGUUGAAGGUAAGUUUAGGACGUUAUCUUCCUAUAUUAGUUUGGUUGGUUUAGUAAUUGCAAAUCAAGAUCGCAGAAAUUCUACAGUAACCGUAUGUGACUUCUGAUAAUAGGGAGCAGAUUUGUAGGUACAAAGUUAAGCUAUAACAUGUGAUAUGGUUCAGAUCCAUGACCGACUAAGAGAAAUGAAAAAAGAAACACUUGAUUUAUGGUGAGAUGAACACAAUUUUAGUAAAUGAAAAGAGAUCCUGAUUAUCUAAUAAAUAUAAUGACCUGGUGACUUUUGAAUCCCAGCCUGCAAGUUCAGCAGCUUCGGUUAGAGCAUCCUUCCAUCCUUGCACUCUGUCCAUGUCGUGCUUAAGCCGCUGUUCAUGCUCAUCAAAUGCUUCUUUGAAUCUUUGUUCCUGCUUCCUAAUAGUUGAUGGAUCCACCUUGUAGAAAACAGGUAUCACAUCCCUUCCAUAUCUCUUCUUGCAUUCAAGUAUCUUAGUGAGUUCAUUCAAGCACCAAGUGGAAGAUGCAUAGUUUUGGGAGAAAACGAUGACAUAAAUCUUUGAUUCUUCUAUUGCAGAGAGUAGUGCAGGUGAAAUUUCUUCGCCCCGGGGUAGUCUCUCGUCAAUAUAUGCUUGAAUGUUCUUCCUUUGCAGUGCUGCAUGAAGGUGACGAAUGAAGUUGUCACGUGUGUCUUCCCCUCUGAAGCUGAGAAACACAUCAUGCUUUGUUAGAGAAGCAGACACGGGGAAUGAUGAAGGACUUCCUGACAUUGGAAUCAAUUUUCUCUCUUUUCUCUUGCAACUCUCAGUGCCUUUGUUUGUACACAAAUCAACUCUUGGAAAAGUCUUUGAAUUUUCUCAAAAGUAUCUUUCACAGAUCACGCACGCGUGGAAACAUAGCUGUGUUAAAAUCCUUAUUUAAGUUUUAAUUGGGCCUUGUAGUGGGCUUUGUAAUGUGCUUUUCUUUUCUCCUACAUUGCUUUAUAUAUACACCUCAGCGUUUGCUUUCUACAUUUCAUUUUACAAAAUACAUUCUCUCAUUUUCUACCUUUUAUAUUGUCUGAUUCCGUUCUCUCUUUAUUUUUUUUCAAAUCUCUUUUGCUUACAAUUUUUUUUUCUUUUUUAAGAAAUGUACUUUUUCAAGUUUAAUUUAAUUUUAUAAAACAGUCAUCUUUCUACAGUAUUAUCAUCUCUUACGUGAGAUUAUUAUAUAUUAUUUGGUGAUCUAAGUAAACUUUUAAUCCAAUAAACUUUAAAAAUAAUUCUAAUACUAUAUUAAAAAAUGAAAUUUAAAUCUAAUUCUAUUUUAUAAAAUAUAUUUAUUCAAUGCUAAAAUAUCUCUAAUUGAGUAGGGAUGUUCAAAAUACUUAUUGGUUCUUGAUUUUCACUUUCACUUUUAAGGUUUUUCUUCGCAGACACGUAGUAAACAGAAAUACAAAAAUAUGAGUCAAUGGAAGAGUCUAACGAUUCGCAGAAUAUUAUGGUGUCUAGCUUUAUACCGCAUUAAUGCGAGGAGUUUCUUUAAUAUUUUUACUCAAUUUAUUUAUUUUUAAUUCUUUUUUUUUUCACACCUUUUACAAAUAAAGAAUCGUAUUUCUUUAAUAUAUUUUAGAAAAUAACCACUAAACCUUAUUAUAAAAUAUAUUUAUGAAAUGCACGUGUAAGAAUAACAGGAAAAAUAUUACUACGAAAAACAAUAUAUUAAUAUUAAUAUGUUUCUUAAUAAAUUUCAUACCCACUGUCUAUUUAUAAAUUAAUAUAAUAUAAAUAUCUUUAAUGAUGUUUUUGUGGGUAGCUUAUUUCUCUAACGCAGAAUAUUAUGGUGUCUACUUUUAUAAAACAUUACAUUUUGAUUUUAAUAUUUAUUAAAUAUUUUUUAUUUGGGAUGAAGUAACGAUGAUGAAUCGAAUGUGUUUUGAAGUCUGACAUAACUUUUAGAGAUGUUAUGAGAACGGUUAAUGACGGAAAUUAUCAAAAACCUUUUGGGGGAAGGUUGUGGUUUUGGGAGGUGAUUUCAGGUAAAUAUUGUUAGUGGUAAAAAAAGGAUUAAGAUAUGAUGUUGUGAAGUCAACAAUCAACUUUUCUCAUUUGUGGUUAAAUUGUCGAGUCUUAAAACUUUCUCAAGGAAAUCCAACACGAUCUAUUGAUUGAGCCCACAAAAACACCUUUGUUAUCAUUGGUGAAUUUUGUUUAUCCUAAUUUAUUGACUGAUAUGUUAUGUCCUGAGUACUUUGAGUAUGGAGCAAUACUUUGUCCGACAACUGAAUCAGUAGAGCAAGUGAAUGAUUUUAUUUUAUCUCUGUUAAGUGGUAAAUAAAUAAAUUAUCUUAGUUCGGAUACACCUUGCCAAUUAGAUUAAGAUCAAGAAUUUAAAGUGAAUGGUUCACUUCUGAGUUCUUAAAUGAGAUAAAAUGUUCAGAGAUACUAAAUCAUCGCCUUCAUUUGAAAAUUGGCGUGCCUAUUAUGCUUUUGAGAAAUAUUGAUCAAACCAACGGUCUUUGUAAUGGAACAAGGUUGCAAGUUAUUGAUUUGAAGAAAAUGUUAUUUGUGCAAUAGUUCUAACAGGAACAAAUAUUGGUGAUAAAAUCUUUAUUUCAAUAAUGAAUUUGAUCCCUUUAGAUGUAGGUAUGCCAUUCAAAUUCUAGAGAAGACAAUUUCCAAUAACUUUAUGUUUUGCAAUGACAAUUAAGAAAAGUCAAAGUCAAUUAUUGACCAAAGUUGGUUUAUAUUUUUCACGUCCAAUUUUCACACAUUGAUAGUUGGAUGUAGCUAUUUAUAGAGUUAGAAAGAAAAAAAUUUAAAAAUUCUAACUCUUGAUGAAGAUGGGAAUGCAACAAACAAGAAAAAGAAAAUGUUUACACUGAAACUUUUGACAAUAUUUAAAAACAAUAGAAUUAUAUGAUAAACUUGGAAUAAUGGCUAAUUCUCCCUGCACCCAAUAUUUUUGAACAUGCAACUUUUAAAUUUGCUCCCUUGUAAUUAUAUUUUCUUAUGUGUGAUGUAGUAACAGUUGCCUUAUUUAAAAUGUUACUAAAUAACAUAUCAUUUAUAUCUGUUAUUUUUAUUCUGUUCUGAUUUUAUAUAUAUGUUAACGAAGUUGAGAAUUUUCUGAUUUUACAGGUCCAUGCACAAACCUAAUAUAAUGAUAUGAUAUUCAAUAUCAAGAGGUACUUGUCGUAAAACGGGGAAUAUGAGAGACUCCAUAGAAUGAAGAAAAAGUAUAAAGAGGAUUUACAAAUUACCCUUUCAAAUGCAGCUCCUCAGAAUUUCUUAAUGCCUUCACUGCAAAUGCAACCCAAAUAAGCUAAAGAAGUUAAUCAAACUAUACAUUAAGAGUUUCAAGAAAAUGAAACUCUGGAACAACAGAGCAACCCAUCUCAUGCUCAAUAGAAACAUCAAACUAUAUCUAACAAUAACUUAGAAAUCUUUGUCAACAAUUGAACGAACCCACUCCUAAAAUGCCAUUGAAAAUGUAAAUAAAUAAAUAAAAAUUAAAAAUGAGAAUUCAUAAUAAAAUUUCAUCGUGUUGAAACUUGUAAUUUAGAAGUAUUACGAUAAGCCAGUUUUGAUCCUCGCGAAUGAAAGACUAAUUAGCAGAAAGACUGUGCAAAAUUCCUUCCACUGGAUUCUUCGAUGUCAACUGAUUUGGUAUAAAGAGGACAUAUGCCGCAUUCUUUUAUUGUGAUAACUGAUUUCAACUCUCUCACAAGUAAUUUGCGAUUUGACCGAUUUGGCCGCAGAAAGGGAUCAUCAUAAUCAUGCGAACUGAUCUCAAAAGUGAAGCUGCGAGCAUCACACAGCCUAAGGCUCAUGCCGCUUGCCCUUAGGGACUCCAAGUUAAAUUUCCACACCAAUGUGUGAUCUUUAUCAACACCUCUCUCUUCAUCAUCCCAUCUGAAAUAGUUGUUUAACACAUCAUUAUUUGGAAUUAUCCGUGUGCCAUGAUCAUCAGAUUCAAAUUUUAGGCUGUAACCAAAGGAACCAUAUCUACCUUUAACAACUUUCGUAUCUAACACUUCAAAAACCACACACAAAGCGAAACCACUGAGCCUAUCAUCGCUUAAAAAACUUAAAUCUUCAUUUAUAGUCACUGAAUGUCCCUUCCCACGAAAAUGGAACCAACCAGGAACUGCACUCCCUGGAAAACAGAAGAACACACACCUAUAUCUAUCGUCGGUCAUCCUAAGCCUUGCAUCCUCCUCAAUGUUAGCACGACCACCUGAAUCCAGUUGUUGAGCAUUGGUCAAAAGAAAUUUGAAGAAACCCUCUUUGGAAUUUGACAAGUUUGGAACAAGAGAAUUGGACAUCACUCUUCUAAUGGAUGGGCAAUCCAAUGCCACUAGUUUUUUUAGAAAUGGUGGAAUCUCUGGGAUGCAUUCAAGCUUUUUGCAGUCGCUUAAAUCAAGCGAUUUCAAGCUUGAAAGAUGAGCAACGCUCUCAGGAAGGUUCACAAUUCCGCUAUCACACAGUGACAGUUCCAUUAAUGACGUCAAGCGACCGAUAUCUCUAGGGAUUUCUGUUAAUCUGGCACACCCCGAACAAUCAAGUUUAGAGAGAAGCUUGAGAUUAACAAUGGAGUUUGGAAGUGACUCCAGAUCAGUGCAUUUGCGGAGCUCCAGGGAUCGAAGAUUAACCAAAUUGGCAAAUGAGGAAGGCAGUUCUUUAACAGCCGUACAUAUCAAGUUAAUGUGAUCAAAAGUAGGAGCCGGCUCUGUGAUCUCUGGGAAGGUCCUCAGACUUGAGCAACCACACAAAUCAAGGUUCCUCAACUUCAAAUUGAAAAUGGUGCUUGGAAAAGUUUGUAGUGAACUACAGUGGGUAAGGUCUAACUUGCAUAGUCUGGUGAGGCUUCCAAUGGAAGAUGGAAUAAUCUCAAGAUUGAAGCAACUGCACAAACUCAGUUGUUGAAGCCCUACCAAACGGCACAAGGAUGAAGGUAGUGCCUGUAUGGCUGUGUCGUCUAAGAUGAGCACCACUAGAUCUUCCAACGUGUCCUGAAUCUGGGGUAAAUUUUCCAAUUUUGAGCAACCACGGAGUGAAAGUUGCUUUAGGAACUUCAUAUCAGAAAGGUCAAAUGGAAAGAUUGUAAGGGAAGAACAGUGAGAGAGAUCUAAGUGACAGAGCCUCUUGAGAUUUUGAAAGUUUGAGGGUACACCUUCGAGUAUUGUCGACACUUCACAUUGUGAGUAUAUAGUAUUAUUACCCACUUCUUCUUCGUUAUAUCUGUCAAAACUAAUUGAGGAAAUUUCACUGGAAGUUGGGAAAAUACCUUUAGCAUUAUGGAAUUUAACAGUCCCUCCCAAAAGUAAACUUGAGAAAGUUGGACGUUGACCCUCCAGUUUCACAUGAAGGUAUCUGGGUUGACUGGUUGAAAACAUUUCAAGCUCCUCACAGUGAGAAAGAAUGAUCAAUCCUGGAGAUGUGGAUAAAAUCUUGUUGGGAAUAUUUACACUUUUGAGAUGAUAACAAUGAUCUAAACAUAAACAACUGAGCUUGCUGAGGAAUAUCGAAGAGUGAACUUUAAUCAACUUUUGACAAUAACUCAGAAUUAGUUCUUCAAUAUUCGGUGACAGAGAAAGGUCUGGUAUUCUAGUAAGUUUCAGAGAAUGACUCAGGUUGAGCCUUUUCAAGUUGGGUAAAUUCUGCCACAAAAAGUAAAUGAAUCAGGUAACAAUGAAAAACUAAAAUAAAGUUUUAUGCAAUUUUAUCUAUUUUUCUUCGGUAAACUAUGAGCUACAUCAUCUAUCGAGUUUAUAUUUUACAUAAAACCACUGUUAAAAAAAUCACACUGUUAACUAACAAAAUUAUGGUCACUAUAAAUUUUAUAGUUAUUAUAAAAAUUCACAAAAUUUAACGUGUUUUUGUUCUCUACCUAAAAUUACAUCCUAAUAAUUUGAACCUAAGCUUAUUAUGUAUUGAAAAACUUACUAUAGUAAUUUAUAAUCCAUGACAAUGUCGAAAUACUUUAUACUAUGCAUGUUAAAAUUUGAUAAAAUGUCGAAAUACUGACAAAAUAAAAAUGGUGUUUUCCGAGAGUUAAAAUUAAACUUUAGUUAAAAUAAGUCCAUCUUUACAUAUUUUAUAAUUUGUUGUAUAUUAUAUUGAAGUUGAUGUUAUAAUAAAAAAAUGACUUAAUUAAUCGAAAAAUGUGGAGAAAACACAAAGAAAUUGCAAAUGCUUGUAUAAUUUAUUUUUAUCUUUGAAAGUUUAAAAGACAAAGGAACAUAGAUAACUUGAAAAACCUGAUCUCCUUCCCAGAGUUGUUCAAGACGGCAGCCUGGCAUUUCGAGGAUCACUAGAUUUUGUGGGCAAAAGUUUGGAGGCCAAAAUCUUUGCGGGAAAUCUCUCCAAUAAAGAAACUUUAGAGUGUCUGGCAGACCUACGAGAGAUGAUUCAAGAGACACAUUUGAUAUGUAUUCAGUUGAGUAGAGUAAAAACGUCCAAAGAUCAUCCAACUCUUUACGAGACACAUCUGAUAUGUAUUUAGUUUUAUUUUGCUCGUAUCUAGUAAUAUACACUGUAUUGCAUCUGACCCCUGAAAGUAAAUCAAUGUAAUUAGAAGAAAAAAACAUGAAAUGUUGCAUUGCAGGAUGUUUGAUGACAGCUCAGUGGUUUGCAAUUUUUCACAAAGUAAAUUAAUGACAGGUCAGUAGUUAUAUACCUUAUUCUUUCUUAAAACCUCACAAAUUUCCUCAGCAUUAAACAAUCGGCUGCGUUUUCCAGGAUGCUGAGGACACUCUUUACGAACAAUUUCUUUACCCAUUUCUUCUAUUAGAUCGUGCAUCACAAUUCUACCAUCAAUGACAGAUAUUAGGCCCCUAUCUUUCAGAAUAUCCAUUCCAAUCUUAGAAGAGAAACCAAAGUCAUCAAGUCUUUCUGCUACCUCAAUCUCCUCGUGACCUCUAUAAAAGCAAGCUAUGUCAAGAAAUAUAUUCUUCUCCUCCUCCUCCAGCCCAUCAUAACUUAAUUUUAAUACAUUGAAAAUACCAAGAUGUUGGCCCUUUUUCAACUUUUGCAACUCACUCUCCCAUGCUUCUCUUGUUCUGCCAUAAAGCAAUGACCCCAAAAUCUGGAGAGCUAACGGAAUCCCUUUUGCAUAUCUCAACACCUUUUCUGACAGGUCCAUGUAAGAUUUUUCUGCUGAAGAUUUUUGUUUAAAAGCAUGUAAACUAAAAAGUUUAUGAGAAUCAUCAAAAUUCAACUCCUUAACCUCGUAGAUAUCAUCAGCUCCAGCAUUUCUAAGCACUUGUCUGUCUCUACUGGUCAUAAUGAUUCUACUGCCCUGCCCAAAACUACCACUCCCUCCUAUUAAUUUUUUAAGUAUAGCUGAAUCGGUAACAUCAUCAAGAAUGAGGAUAGCCUUUGUCCGUUUGAGCCUUUCAUUGUAAUAUGAUAAAUCAGGGGAUUUCUUUAUCUCUUCCUUUAGAAGCACAGACAGAUAUUUUCUUCUGAUACUGUCUAUUCCAUCUCUUUGUAUUUUUUCUUGAACGUCUAAAACAAGGCUGCUGGAAUCAAACUGCACUGCCAAUUUCUGAUAUAUUUGAUUACAAAUUGUAGUUUUUCCUAUUCCUCCCAUGCCACAAAUUCCUAUGAUCCGAACAUCCGUUGACUCAAGAUGCAACAAGGACUGAAUUCCUUCAAUAUUUUUUUCAAUGCCGAUGAUUCCUUGAUCAUAACUGGUGGAAUAACGAUUCAAUUUUCUCAAAAUAUCUUCCACAAUUUCUUCAACAAGUGCGUGUUCUGGCCUGGCAGAUGAUUUAGAAAAUAAAGUAUAAGUAUUCAAGCACAAAAGCUAAAGUAAACUAAAGAAAAAUUUUACAGUAACCGUUUGUGACUUCUGAUACUAGGGAGCAGACUUGUAGGUACAAAGUUAAACUAUAAGAUCAGAUAUGGUUCAGAUCCAUGACCGACUAAGAGAAAUGAAAAAAGAAACACUUGAUUUAUGGUGAGAUGAACACAAUUUUAGUAAAUGAAAAGAGAUCCUGAUUAUCUAACAAAUAUAAUGACCUGGUGACUUUUGAAUCCCAGCCUGCAAGUUUAGCAGCUUCAGUUAGAGCAUCCUUCCAUCCUUGCACUUUAUCGUGCUUAAGGUGCUGCUCAUGCUUUUCGAAUGCUUCAUUGUAUCUUUGUUCCUGCUUCCUAAUAGUUGAUGGAUCCACCUUGUAGAAAACAGGUAUGACAUCCCUUCCAAAUCUCUUCUUGCAUUCAAGUAUCUUAGUGAGUUCAUUCAAGCACCAAGUGGAAGAUGCAUAGUCUUGGGAGAAAACGAUGACAUAAAUCUUUGAUUCUUCUAUUGCAGAGAGGAGAGCAGGUGAAAUUUCUUCGCCCCUGUUUAAUCUGUAAUCAAUAUACGCUUCAAUGUUCUUCCUCUGCAGCGCUGCAUAAAGGUGACUAAUGAAGUUGUCACGUGUGUCUUCCCCUCUGAAGCUGAGAAACACAUCAUGCUUUGUUAGAGAAGUAGACACGGGGAAUGAUGAAGAACUUCCUGACAUUGGAAUCAAUUUUCUCUCCUUUCUCUGCAAAUCUCAGAUUCCUUUGUUUGUACCAUUUCUACCUGAAGAAGUGUUUAAAUUUUCUCAAAAUACCUUGCACAGCGUGUUCUGGUCAGACAUAAAGAAAAAGACAAAUAUUAAGUUAAUAGAAUAGUCAACAAUUUAAAAAAUAAGUAUGAAAUAUAGAUAUAUAUCAUUAUCACGUGUGGAAGCUACGUCGUCUUGUAUUGGAUUUUCUAAUCUGCCUUUUAUCUUGUCUCAUUCUUCUUUAUCUUUUUUCUCUCAUCUCUCUUGCUUACGAUUUCUUUGCCUUUAUUCAGAAAUUUUAUUUAUAAUAAACCUUCAAUAAUAUUUGUACUUUCUAGCAUAUAGAAUACUUAAUGGAUCCUUUUCUGAUUUUUCUUUUCUAAAGUGCAAUUGAUAUUUUAAAUGUUUUUCUAUUUAAUUUUCCUUUCUUAAUGACACAUAAAAUGGUUCAGUGCACAAUUAAUUACUCUCACCUUAGAUUUCAUUCAUCUCAUUCCAUUUCCACACUCAAAUCAUUCUCACAUUUGUUUCUACCUGUUUCACAAAGUUUUAGUUAAAAUAUGGAAAUUAAUGUUCAAGAACCCUACUUAAUAUUAAUAUUCAACAAUUUAAAAUAUUAAAAUGCAAAUUAAUCUUUCUUAAUAAUGUCAUUUUUAUGUAAAAAAUAAAAUGUAGUUUAGUCAUUUAUACUUAGAUGGAUAAAGAUGGUUUUAGAAAAAAAAAUGCAUUUUAUUUCAAAGGUUAUCUAAGCUCUGAACUCAUUUAUGAAUUAAUAAUAAUAAAUAAUAUGUAAUUGUAUUCCAAUACCAUAUAAUUUUUUUUAUUGGGUGCGUUUCUGAUGAAUUAAUUAAUGCACUCUAGGGACAAUGAUCGCUCUAGUAUUUGAUUUUUUUAUUUAUUUUAAUGUUGAAAUUAUAGCUAUUUAGUACAGAUACUAUUGACACCGACACAGAUACGACACAGACACAGAGAUACUUAAAAUCUCUAAAAUGUAAGAUACAGAGACAUUAAUCUAUAUAUUAUAUAAUUAUGAAUUAUAUAAAUUAACAAUAAAGACUUAUGUGCACAAGUAUUUUGGAGAUUAUUUUUUAAGCAGAAAUAUGUUUUUCAUGACUGUUUCACAAAGAUUUGUUUCUUAUUUUUAUAAUCAUAAUAACAAUUUAUACCAUAAAGUUUGAAUUUUAGAAAAUUAAUGUAUUUUUUCUUUUUAAAAUUCCGUUAGAAUCGUACUAAAAUUGUAAAAAAUCUAACAAAUACAUUUUGAAUUGGACAUUUCACAAAUACAUGUCCUACCAGUAUCAUACGAAUGUAAACAAAAUUCUUUCUUCAUAUGCCGCAUUCUUUUACUGUGAUAACUCAUUUCAACUCUCUCACAACUGAUUCGUAAUCUGUGGGAUGCAUUAAAGCCUUUUGCAGUUAAAUCAAUAGUAUAUGAUGAUGUGAAUGUUAUUUAUAUACUAAAUAUAAUCACAUAGUAACUUCAAAUUUGAUAAGGUACAACAUGUUACCAUAUCUCUUUUAAUUUCUUUUAUUUCAUUAUAUAUUUAGGUGUAUUUAAUUUCUUUUUAUUUCAUUGUGUAUUUAGGUGUAUUACGUAAAAUAUAUAAUUAAAAAGAAAGAAGAAUAAUGUUAUUUUUAAAUUUAAAGAAUGACAUAUAGAAAUAAACAAGCUAUUUUGAAAUUUUUAGAUUUUACAAAACAUUACAUUUUGAUUUUAAUAUUUAUAAAAUAUUUUUUAAUUUCAUAUUUAAAACACAACACUUAGUUGAGUGUGUUCCUUAGUUACUUACCAAAUAACAACAUACAUCUUAUCGGGUCUUUUUGCGACCCGACCCAAACUCAUCUCGAUCCUAGUAGGGUUCGCAUCAUCUUCAAUUGAGGAGUAGAUUUGUCAGGAGGAAAAUAAAUUGAUUUAUAAGAACAUGUGAAGUUGUUUAGAUUGAGGAAUAAUAGAUGGAUUUUGAUUAUGAUUUAUGGUAAGUUUAAAAAAAAUAGAUUUGUUUCUUUUAACAUUUUUUGUAUUAUAAUUAUUUGCUGGCUGAAUUGUUUUGAGUUAACAUGUUUUCUUGGGGUAUGAUAUUGUGAGGUUUUAUUACAUGCAGGUACGUGAAUAUUUUUUUUAUUCUAGUUGUAUAAAUCAGGAAAAAAUGUUUUUCACAAUAUAAUUAUAAUAACCGUUUAACAACCUAAAUAAUAAUAAAAUAUUAACUCAUAUUAUUUAAUUAAAUUAUUAAAUAAAAAGUAGUAAAACUGAUUGUAGGAUGGGAAUAUGAUUAUUUUUAACUGCUAGCUCCUCAUUAUUCUUUUAUAAUAAAAAACACACUAGUAGGUGUUGAAAAUCGUAAUAUAACAAACAAGUUUUGACACACGUAGGUUUGGCAAUUGUUUUAAUAGCUGAAAAUAGUAAAACAAUUUUUAAUUACCACAAACUGCAUCUUAAAUCAUAAAAAAUAGCAUUUUUUAGUUCAUAUAUAAUAACAUUUCCAUAAAUAAAUCUCCCGCCGCCAUUGAUAUUAAUCAUUAAUAAUUUUAGAUAAUAUUUUUUACUAUAAAACAUUUAAUUGAGAUUGAAUUUUUAAUUCACACUUUUUGGUCAAAGAAUAAUAUAUUUCAUUUUUUUAUUUAUUAAAUAUUUUGUAUAAUGCUGAGAAAAAAAAAUCUCACACACACACACACAUAUAUAUAUAUAUGAUCCCUAUGUCCUACAAGUACAAUAUAACAUCGUUAGUAUAAUGAAUAAAAAUAAUGAGUAUUCAAAGUCGUGUAUUUACGUAAAAGAAUAACAUGAUUUUUAAAAGAACUCACAUUAUCAGUUUAAAUUUUGACGAUAAAAUACAUUAAUUAUAUAUAUUUAUUCAAAAUUUCAAUUAUAUUAUGCAUUAAUGGUUUUAUGCUUUUAGAGGAAUCAGAGAAACUUAGAAAAGCUUAAUGAAACCCUAUGAAUAAAGGAGAUGUAAAAGAAAGAGAAAAAGGAAGUGAGAAAAGAUGAUAAUUAAUAAACACCCACUCUUCAUAACAUAGAGUCUUUAAACCUAUAUUCCCUCAAACAGCAUUUAUAAGUUAUUAUCACCCACAUGGAAUAAGGUGCCUCAAUGUGAACAAACCAAGAUCAGUAAGAAAUAUGAGGUUCAAAUAACGAAGCUGAGAAUUUUCUGGUUUUACAGCUCCAUGCACAAACCUAAUACAAUGAUAUGAUAUUCCAUAGGAUGGAGAAAAGUAUGAUAUGAAGAGGAUUUACCAAUUACCCUUUCGAAUGCAGCUCCUCAGGAUUCCAUCAUGCCUUCACUGCACAUGCAACCCAAAUAUGCUAAAGAAGUUAAUCAAACCCAAAUAUAAAGAAUUUCUAGAGAAUGCAACUCUGGGACAACAGAGUACCCCAUCUCAAGCUGAACAGAAACAUUAAACUAUAUCUAACAAUAACUUAGAAAUCUUUGUCAACAAUGAACGAAUCCAACCGUAAAAUGCCAUUGAAAAUGUAAAUAAAACAAAAUAAAUUAGAUAUGAGAAAUUCAUGAUAAAAUUUCAACACUUGUAAUGUAGAAGCAUUACGAUAAGCCAGUUUUGAUCCUCACCAAUGAAAGUCUAAUUAGCAGAAGAGGAAGAGACUAGUUGACUGGGUAGCUUUCUGCAAUGCCUAUUUUAAGGUUACGCUUCCGGCAAAAAUAUAAUAGAAGACUGCUCUCAUGUCAAAGUUUCUCAUACAUAGAACAACCCGCAAAAGAGAUUAAACAUUCCAAAAGAUGUCUCAACAGAAAUGAAAUGAGAUCCUAACAACUUGUUGGGAAAGUACUAUUUUGCCUUCAAUUCCAUUACUUCCUUUUGCCUUUAAGAGUGCAGUCAUAAUCAUCAAAAUACUUAGACUUUGUGAUAUGUCUUUUGGGCUUGCUAUUCAUCUUUUGUUGCCUCCUCUUGAGCCAUAACACUUUUGGCCUUCCUCUUCCUAUAUUCCCUUGUGUCUCUUGAAGACUGUGCAACAUUACUUCGACUGGAUUAUUCAAUGUGAACAGCACCACCAUAUUCAUCAUCUUUCUUUUUGGAAUAAAGAGGGCAUAUGCCGCAUUCUUUUACUCUGAUAUCGGGCCACCAAUGGCUGAUCUCAAAAGUGAAGCUGCGAGCAUCACAGAGCCUAAGGCUCAUGCCGCUUGCCCUUAGGGACUCCAAGUUAAAUUUCCACACAAAUGUGUGAUCUUUAUCAAGAAAUCUGCCUGCAUCCGUCAAGUUUAACACAUCAUUAUUUGGAAUGAUCUGUGUGCCAUCAUCAUCAGAUUCAAAUUUUAGGCUGUAACCAAAAGAACUAUAUCUACCUUUAAUAUCAUUCGUAUCUAACACUUCAAAAACCACGCACAAAGAGAAACCAGUGAGCCUAUUAUCGCUGCAAAAACUUAAAUCUUCAUUUAUAGUCACUGAAUGUCCCUUCCCACGAAAAUGGAACCAACCAGGAACUGCACUCCCUGGAUAACAGAAGAACACAGACCUAUAUGCAUCGUCGGUCAUCCUAAGCCUUGCAUCCUUCUCAAUGUUAGCACGACCACCUGAAUCCAGUUGUUGAGCAUUGGUGAAAUGAAAUUUGAAUACACCCUCUUUGGAAUUUGAGAGGUUCCGAACAAGAGAAUUUGACAUCACUUUUCUAAUGGAUGGGCAAUCCAAUGCCACGAGUUGUUUUAGAAAUGGUGGAAUCGGUGGGAUGCAUUCAAGCUUUUUGCAGUCGCUUAAAUCAAGCGAUUUCAAGCUCGAAAGAUGAGCAAUGCUCUCAGGAAGGUUCACGAUUCCGCUAUCACGCAGUGACAGUUCCAUUAAUGACGUCAAACGACCAAUGUGCCUUGGGAUUUCUGUUAAUUUGGCACACCCCGAACAAUCAAGUUUAGAGAGAAGCUUCAGAUUAACAAUGCAGUUUGGAAGUGACUCGAGAUCAGUGCAUUUGCGGAGCUCCAGGGAACGAAGAUUAACGAAAUUGGCAAAUGAGGAAGGCAGUUCUUUAACAGUCGUAGAUGUUAAGUUAAUGUGAGCAAAAGUAUGAGCCGACUCCGUGAUCUCUGGGAAGGUCCUCAGCCUUGAGCAACCACGCAAAUCAAGGUUCCUCAACUUCAAAUUGAAAAUGGUGCUUGGAAAAGUUUGAAGUGAAUUACAGUGGGCAAGGUCUAACUUGCAUAGUCUGGUGAGGCUUCCAAUGGAAGAUGGAAUAAUCUCAAGAUUGAAGCAACUGUGCAAACUCAGUUGUUGAAGCCCUACCAAACGGCACAAGGAUGAAGGUAGUGCCUGUAUGGCUGUGUCGUCUAAGAUGAGCACCGCUAGAUCUUCCAACGUGUCCUGAAUCUCGGGUAAAUUUUCCAGUUUUGAGCAACCACUGAGACAAAGUUGCUUUAGGAAUUUCAUAUCAGAAAGGUCAAACGGAAAGAUUGUAAGGGAAGAACAGUCAGAGAGAUCUAAGUAACAGAGGUUCUUGAGACUUUGAAAGUUUAAGGGCACACCUUCCAAGAGACUGUUGAACACCUCUGAGUCUUCUGAGUCUGUAGCAUUAUUAGCCACUUCUAUAUUAUAUCUGUCAAAAGUAAUUGACAAAAUUUCACUGCUUGGGGAAAUUUCACUGGAAGUUGGGAAAUUUAUCUCUUUCGUCAUAUCCAGUUCCUGACGCUCCAGUAUGACAUGAGGGAGAAAUUUAUCUUCAUGUUUACUGAUUGAAAACAUAUUAAGCUUCCGACAAUGGGAAAGAGUAAUCCAUCCUGGUGAUGUGGAUAAAAUGUUGCUCGGAAUAUUUACACUAUUCAGAUCAUCACAAUGAUCUAAACAUAAACAACUGAGUUUGCUGAGGAAUAUCGAAGAGUGAAUUUCAAUCAACUUUUUACAAUAACUCAGAAUUAUUUUUUCAAUAUUUGGUGACAUAGAAAGGUCUGGUAUUCUAGCAAGUUUCCAAGAACGUGUCAGGUCGAGCCUUUUCAAGUUGGGUAAAUUCUGCCACAAAAAGUAAAUGAAUCAGGUAACAAAUAAUAACUACUUUAUCUAUUUUUCUUCCUAUUUAAACUAUUAGCUACUACUAUUGAGUUUAUAUUUUACAUUACUUAAAAACCACUGUUAAAAAAGCCACACUGUGGACUAACAAAAUUAUAUUUUAAAAUAUUAUUAAAGAUAAAAUAUGAAGAUAGGGUAAUUAAAUUAAAUAUAAUUUUUAUUUUUCAGAAAUGAUGAAAAUUAUAAUUAAAUUAACUAAAUUAUAUAAAAUUCCAUUUUAUUUACAUAACUCCUUUUCAUAUUAAAAAACUAUAUAAGAUCUUGAAACUAUAAUUAAUAUCUUAAAAAUUUAAAUAAUAAUAAUUAUUUCUACUCAUCCUUAAUUUUUGUUGGUGAAAUCUUGAUUUUUGGGAUAAUAUCACUUAAACUUAAGAAAUAUUUGACAUUAAUGAACUCUAAACAAAUUUAUAUAAGAAAUCAAGACAUCACUUUCAAUCCGAAAUCUUAAACUAAUAGGUUUAUGGAUUUUCUUUAUAUGUUGUUCAUCUUACCAAUUUGAACCCAAUGCGAGACUUUCAACUCUAAGAGAUGAAGUGGUGUACUUUAUGCUUCUAGGACUUGUUAGAUAUUGAAACAUGUACCAUUGCUAAAAUGUUUGAAUGAAGGAGAAGUCAAAGUCUCUCUCCUUUAGAGAUAUUCGCUCAAGUGGCAAGAGGUUGAUUAAGCAAGAGAGAGAUCGUAUUAAUUCUCUCUUCUAUGCAAUUGUUGUCGUUCAAACAAUGUGGAAUCAUUCAAGCAAAGAAAUCUUCUUUUGGGUUAGGAAACAAGGUUUUUCAAGCGAGAUAAACUCGUCUAAAGAAUUUAACUCUAGUAGUGAAAUGUUGUUGCCAUGAUUUAGCCAAGUGUUUGUAUCUAUGAGGCUAAUGAUGAUGAUGACGAUGAUAAGAUGCAUGAAUGUGUAUACACAAGUGUAUGAUAUACCUCAUGUUAUAUAUUGUAUGUGAUUCAAUUGAUGACCAUUUAUUUUUAGGCCAUUUAUAUGUAUAUUUUGGCCCUUUUAUGAGUAUGUGACGAGAUAUACCUAAGAUUGUAUUAUGAUCCUAAUGAGUCGAAGUAUCAAACACAAAACUCAUUAUGGAAAAAAAAAGAUAUUUUGUGCAUCAGUUAUGAUAUGAUCACAACAAUUAAAGCAUGUGUGAACGGUUAAUAUUGUUCUUAAUAAGAAAACAAAUAAUAUUGUAUGUGACAUUAGAGAUGUCAAAUAGGUUUAGAAAAUUAUUAAGUUUAAUUAUCUUUUUAGUCUUUAUAUUAAUGACCAAAAGUCAAUUCAGAUUUUUAGAAAGUUCAAUAUGAUUUAAUUUUUUAAAAAACAAUUCAAUGUGAUUCCUUCUAGUAUAUUUCCCUUAUUAAAAUAUUUUUAUCUUAAUGAUUCUGCCACUGUUAAGUUAUAUGUGUUGUUAUCACAUUGAAUUGUUUUAAAAAAAUUUGGAACCACCACAUUAAAUUGUUUUAAAAAGUUAGUACUAAAUUGAACUUUUGAAAAUUGGGAGAAUGAAAUUAAAUUUUGUCUAUUAAUACAGGGACAAAAAAUAAUUGAAUCAAAUAUUUUACUAUUUUUGUGAUGUAUAUUUAUAUAUAAAUAAUUUUGAGAAUUUAGAGUUACAAUGUGUUAUAUCAUAUAUAUAUAAUUCUUUUUGGUAAUGUAUCCUGUAGUUGUAAGCAAGUAUGAUUAUAUUAAGUGGGGCGUUUCAAAUAGUGGAGACUACGCAUAUACAAAUAUCUCUUAUAAAGUAAGAAAACAAAACAAUCGUUACUCAAGAAGAUCAUGCAAUGCAUCACAGACAACAUGGGAGAUAUAUAUCAACAAUAAUAUGAGUAAAUAAUACAUUCAUGGGCCAUUAGACGAUAUGCCUAAAAAAAAUAUGCAAACUAUUAAAUUUAUAAUUAUUUUUAAUUAGAAACAUGCUGAGUAUGACUCUUAUGAUAUAUGUAUAACUGUGUGCUUCAAAUAAAAGAAAUUUCAAAUCGAAUAAUGUGGAGAAGGCACAAAGGAAUUGCAAAUGAAAACCUGUAGAUGUAUAAUACACAAAACAUGCUUGUCUAAUUUAUUUUUAUCUUUGAAAGUUUAGAACACAAAGGAACAUAGAUAACUUGAAAAACCUGAUCUCCUUCCCAGAGUUGUUCAAGAUCGCAGUAUGGCAUUUCGAGGAUCACUAGAUUUUGUGGGCAAAAGUUUGGAGGCCAGAAUCUUUGAAGGAAACCGUUCCAAUAAAGAAACUUUAGAGUGUCCGGCAGACCUACAAGAGAUGAUUCAAGAGACACUUUUGAAUUCAAUCUAGGCAUGUAGACCAUAAGCAUCAUAAGAUUGUCCAUCUUUUCGAAACUUUGUGCAUGUACUACAGCAUCUUUUACUUUGUUCGUAUGAUAUUGAUAUACACUGUAUUGCAUCUGACCCCUGAAAGUAAAUCAAUGUAAUUAGAAAAAAAAACAUGAAAUGUUGCAUUUCAGGAUGCUUAAUGACAGCUCAGUAGUUUUCUAUUUUUCACAAAGUAACAACAGCAUAUACCUUGUUCUUUCUUAAAACCUCACAAAUUUCCUCAUCAUUAAACAAUCGGCUGCGUUUUCCAGGAUGCUGAGGACACUCUUUACGAACAAUUUCUUUACCCAUUUCUUGUAUUAGAUCGUGCAUCACAAUUCUACCAUCAAAGACAGAGAUUAGACCCCUAUCUUUGAGAAUAUCCAUUCCAAUCUUAGAAGAGAAACCACAGUCAUCAAGUGUUUCUGCUACCACAGUCUCCUCUUGCCCUCUAUAAAAGCAAGCUAUGUCAAGAAAUAUAUUCUUCUCCUCCUCCUUGAGCCCAUAAUAACUUAAUUUUAAUACGUCGAAAGUUCCAAGAUCUUGGCCGUUUUCCAACUUUUGCAACUGACUCUCCCAUGCUUCUCUUGUUCUGCCAUAAAGCAAUGACCCCAAAAUCUGGAGAGCUAACGGAAUUCCUUUUGCAUAUCUCAACACCUUUACUGACAGGUCCAUGUAAGCAAUUCCUUCUGAAGAUUUUUGUUUAAAAGCAUGUAAACUAAAAAGUUUCAGAGAAUCAUAAAAAUUCAACUCCUUAACUUCGUAGAUAUCAUCAGCUCCAGCAUUCUUAAGCACUUGUCUGUCUCUACUGGUCAUAAUGAUUCUACUGCCCUGCCCAAAACUAUCACUCCCACCUAUUAAUUUUUGAAGUUGAGUUGAAUCGGUAACAUCAUCAAGAAUGAGGAGAACCUUUGUCCGUUUGAGCCUUUCAUUGUAAUAUGGUAAAUAAGAGGAUUUCUCUUCCUUUAGAAGCUCAGACUGAUAUUUUGUUCUGAUACCGUCUAUUCCAUCUCUUUGUAUUUUUUCUUGAACGUCUAAAACAAGGCUGCUGGAAUCAAACUGCAAUGCCAAUUUCUGAUAUAUUUGAUCACAAAUUGUAGUUUUUCCUAUUCCUCCCAUGCCACAAAUUCCUAUGAUCCGAACAUCCGUUGACUCAAGAUGCAACAAGGACUGAAUUCCUUCAAUAUUUUUUUCAAUGCCGAUGAUUCCUUGAUCAUAACUGGCGGAAUAACGAUUCAAUUUUCUCAAAAUAUCUUCCACAAUUUCUUCAACAAGUGCGUGUUCUGGCCUGGCAGAUGAUUUAGAAAAUAAAGUAUAAGUAUUCAAGCACAAAAGCUAAAGUAAACUAAAGAAAAAUUUUACAGUAACCGUUUGUGACUUCUGAUACUAGGGAGCAUACUUGUAGGUACAAAGUUAAGCUAUUGUGUGAUAUGGUUCAGAUCUAUGACCGACUAAUAGAAAUGAAAAAAGAAGCACUUGAUUUAUGGUGAGAUGAACACAAUUUUAGUAAAUGAAAAGAGAUCCUGAUUAUCUAAUAAAUAUAAUGACCUGGUGACUUUUGAAUCCCAGCCUGCAAGUCCAGCAGCUUCGGUGAGAGCAUCCUUCCAUCCUUGCACUGUGUCGUGCUUAAAGUGCUGCUCAUGCUCAUUGAAUGCUUCUUUGUAUCUUUCUUCCUGCUUCCUAAUAGUUGAUGGAUCCACCUUGUAGAAAACAGGUAUCACAUCCCUUCCAUAUCUCUUCUUGCAAUCAAGUAUCUUAGUGAGUUCAUCCAAGCACCAUGUGGAAGAUGCAUAGUUUUUGGAGAAAACGAUGACAUAAAUCUUUGAUUCUUCUAUUGCAGAGAGGAGUACAGGUGAAAUUUCUUGGCCCCUGAGUAAUCUGUAAUCAAUAUAUGCUUGAAUGUUCUUCCUUUGCAGCGCUGCAUAAAGGUGACUAAUGAAGUUGUCACGUGUGUCUUCCCCUCUGAAGCUGAGAAACACAUCAUGCUUUGUUAAAGAAGCAGACAUGGCCAAUGAUGAAGGGUUUCAAUGUUCUCUGCAACUCUCAGAUCCCUUUGUUUGUAAGCAACUUCCAUAUAUUCUAUUAGGAAGGAAAAUAUAUAUUUCUACCAUUCCUACCACAAAUUGAAAAAGCCUUUCAAUUUUCUCAAAAUAUCUUUCACAGCUGUGUUCUGUCAGAUACGAAACAUUGAGUCAAUGGAAGAGUCAACAAUUGGCAGAAUAUUAUGGUGUGUAGCUUUAUACCAUUCUUACAAUAUUUGAUUGGUUGAAUAUAUACAAUAUGACUAAUGAACUUUUUUCUUUUCCGUAUUCCACGAUAAUUCCCUAGGCACCCUAUUAUACACUUUCUUAUCAACGGAAACCAUGUCUGUCCUUUUAUAGUUUUAAUCCUAUAAUAUCUUUCCAUUAAUCAUCAUUAUCACUCUUCAACCUUCAUAUCAAGUGUAUUGAUUUCAUACUUCAUCAGCUAGACAUAAUAAAAUCUCAAUAAUCUUUUAUACUGUCAACAUUUAUAAAAAAUAUUUCCUUCAAUAAUAUUUGUACUUUCUAGCAUAUAGAAUACUUAAUGGAUUCUUCUGUGAUUUUUCUUUCCUAAAGUACAAUUGAUAUUUUAACAGAUGCCGAAAGGUCUUGAAUAUGAGGCUGUUUCGAAAUGAAAAUUGGGGUAAAGCAUUUUCAAGUUAACAAGUUUUGUUGGGUGAGUGAGUGAUCAGUGCUAGCAUUUUCAAUCUCAGUUAUAGAAUGUAAAGAUUUACACAUUUAUUUGCUGAUUAAUAAUUUAUUUAUUGAAUUAAAUGUUUUAACAGUGAGUAUGGAUUCUUGAAUGAAUGUAAUCAUGGUGUAGAAUGUACAUAGUACAUAUAGUGAGUUGGAUUGAAAUGUUGAACACGUUUUCCUCUGCAAAGAUUCAGGAUAUUUAUGAACUUGCUAUAAAUUGUUUUAACUUUUCUCUGCAACUCUCAGUCCCUUUGUUUCUACCAUUUUGUUUUUGAAAAGCCUUUCAAUUUUCUCAAAAUAUCUUUCACUGCUGUGUUCUGUCAGAUACGAAACAUUGAGUCAAUGGAAGAGUCAACAAUUCGUAGAAUAUUAUAUUAUGGUGUCAAUAUUUAAUAAAUUUAUUUAUUUCUUUAACAUAUUUUAGAAAAUAACCAGUAAACAUAAAACUUUUAGUAUGACUAAAAGAAUAAAGAUAGUGUAAGAAUAACAGGAAUAACAUUACUACAAAUAACAAUAUAUUAAUAUUAAUAUGUUUCUUAAUAAAUUUUACACCCACUGUCUAUUUAUAAAUUAAUAUAUUAUAAACAUCUAUUGAUUUUUUGUGGGUAGCUUAUUUCUGUAACAUUUUAAAUUAAUUUUUUAGAUUUUACAAAACAUUACAUUUUGAUUAUAAUAUUUAGGACUGUGAUGCAAUUUCUGCAAUGAAGGCUGGCAGACUAAGUUUCUCCAAGCCCAAUUAAUACUGGGUUGAAAAUUCUGAGAAGAGGGUGAGUAUGAUGCUGCGGUCAUGAUCUAUGUAUUAAAGUGUUAAGGCAUGGGUUUGGUUGACAGGACAAUACUGGUUUUUCAUUGCUACUACUUAAUAUGAUUCUUUCUUACUGCUAUAUGAAUUUGCUGUCAAAUAGCAGUAAAUAAAAGACUUCAAAUAAAGCAUGUGUUUAUCAUACAUGGACUAAUGCAGCAGUUUUAGUAGAAGGGGCUAAUAUGAUUUUAAUCUAGAACAAGAUGGCUAAACCCAAAGAUGGUGGGAAUAAUAUCCUCAAAUCAAUUGUUUUGGUUUUCAGUGUAAUGUCAUUUGUAAGUAUCAAAAUUUGUUUGUUAUCACAUUGGAAGGUAGUAUCUGUCAUGAAAUUUGUGGAAGACCUUUACCUAUGUUUGCUUUGGGUCUGUUUUACGCCCUCUCGAAUUAAGUAAAUUUUUAAUUGCCAUCAUGAAAUUAGGCUAAAUAUGUGUAGUUUUGAGCACUUUCUUUCUUCCAUUUCAAUUCAUAGUUUCAUACAUAUUCAAUAUCAUGUGGGAAUUAAGUUCUUGCUUUUAAGGUGAAUAACAGUUUGUAUUCUUGCAGAAAACUAUUUUCUAAUGCAUAUAAAUUUCAUUUUCUAUUUUCAGCAUUGGAUUAUGUUAUGUAAUUUUUCCUUUGUAUUAUACAGAGUAGGAUUUUAAUGUUUCUACUGAACAGUGCUAUCUUUUUUCGUCCAUAUUCUGAUUUUGUUCAAUUUUUUUCAGUAUGUGCCACAUGCAGAUCAGAUGUAAGGAAUUUUCUAAAUUUUUUUUCAAGCUUUCUUGUUUGCUUAAAGUUUUCUGUAAGUAUUUAACUGUCUUAAGUUGUUAAUGAGGACUAAGGACUGAAAAAGAGAAUUAGCCAUGACAUGGUGGCAUUAUCCUUCUUCAAAACCAUUAGUUUUUUUUCCUACAAAGAUACAUGUCAAGAAAGCAAACCAGGAACAAAAGUGAUGUUUAUGAUUGCUUUCUCUCUUGUUUACUUGCUUUCUUUUUGUUGGACAAUUGUCUUAAUUGCAUUCACACCUAACCUGCAGUAGUUUCAGUCCCUUUGGGGUUGUCAUAAUUGCAGCCUCAAGAGUGGUGGUGUAGUCCAACAUCAACCAGUGAUAUAGUUCAAAUAUAGCAUAUACAUGAAAGUCGUGUUGAUAAUCAAAGGUUGCUUCAUCUUAACUAAUAACAUGUAAAUGUCAUUUGAAUGGUUAAAAAGGAAUUCACCAGUGUAACACAAAAUGAAUGGAUUGCUUGGUUAUGUGUCAACUGUUGUACUUUUUUUGAGUUGCUUGAAAAUAAUUAAAAUUUGUUUUCAUCUAGAUCUUGGUUUUUUCCUAUGAUCAAAUCUCGAUUUAUUUCUGUGCAGAACUUUCUUGUGGACAUAAAAGGACCAGCUAUAGCAUUUUUACCGGUGCUUGCAUUUGAAGGAGGAACUAGAAGAAAUAUACCUAGGUUUGAGGUGUGUAUAAAUUAUUUUUGAUGUAUUUCGUGAUGUAGAUGUAAAAUAAUGCAAUACUUUGUUUUUAGUUUCAAUGUUACUCUUUAUCUGCAGGUUGGAAACAUAUCUUGAUGAAAUAUAGAAACAUUUUUAUUCAUAAUAUAUAUAUAAGGAUUACACAUUCAUAAUUAUUUCUUUCUGUCGUAGCAUUGUCUACCUCAAAUCACUGCAACUUUCUGUUGUUGGUAUAAAAAUACAAUAUUUUAAUCCCAGUUUUGAUAGCCUCUAUUCUUCAGUGGUUGAGAUAUUUUUUAUAAGAAUUUAGAAGUUCUGAGAUAUUUAUGAUAAGAAUUUCAAGUUCUUUGUUACUAGCAGUUUAAUGGUUAUAUCAUUUUUGUUCUCUGGAAAAUAUCUUAUACAAAAUCGGUACUUAGAUUUGGUAUUUAUAUUGUUCAUAUGUAGAAAUCUAAUACUAGCAAAUUUUGUCUAAUUUAAAAGCAAUUACAUUCUACUCUUUGGAAUAUGUUCUGGCCUGCUUUUAUGAAUUAUUUGAAAAUUUGUAAUUAUAAAAUUUAGUCUUUGAAAUUAUAAAUUUAAUAGAGAAGCAUCCAUACUAAACUUUUAUAUUAUAAAUUGUCAGUUUUAUAUUGAAAACAUAUCCCCUUUAGUAUAAGACUUAAAGGAGAUGUCUUUUGGUAUAAAAACUGAAAUAAAAAAUAUUUUAACUAUAUGGGUCAAAUGGAUGAUUAAACUUAUAAAAUGUACAAUUAAACUUAUAAAUUAUAAUAAACGAUACUUUAAUUUUAAACUAUAUUGAACUUUUAUUAAUGUUCUCGCUUUUCUUUAAAAGCUAUUGAACUCUAUCUAACAAUAACUUAAAAAUGAGAAAUUCAUGAUAAAAUUUCAACACUUGUAAUCUAGAAGUAUUACGAUAAGCCAGAAGAGGAAGAGACUAGUUGACUGGGUAGCUUUCGGCGUUCCUCUUCCUAUCUUCCCCUGUUUCUCCUGAAGAGUGUGCAACAUUGCUUCCACUGAAUUCUUCAAUGUCAUUUUCUGAUGCAGAAUAGUCAACAGCACCACCAUAUUUAUCAUCUUUCUUUUUCGUAUAAAGAGGGCAUAUGCCGCAUUCUUUUAUUCUGAUACCUGAUUUCAACUCUCUCUCAACUGAUUCGUAAUCUGGCCGAUUUGGCCGCAGAAAGGGAUCAUACGGACUGAUCUCAAAAGUGAAGCUGCGAGCAUCACACAGCCUAAGGCUCAUGCCGCUCGCCAUUAGGGACUCCAAGUUAAAUUUCCACACGAAUGUCCCUUCACCAUCCCAUUUGAAAUAGCUAUUUAACACACCCUUAUAUGGAAUGAUCUGUGUGCCAUCAUCAUAUUCAAAUUUUAGGCUGUAACGAAAAGAACCAUAUCCACCUUUAAUAUCUAACACUCCAAAAGCUACACACAAAGCGAAACCAGUGAGCCUAUCAUCGCUGCAGAAACUUAAAUCUUCAUUUAUAGUCACUGAAUGUCCCUUCCCACGAAAAUUGAACCAACCAGGAACUGCACUCCCUGGAAAACAGAACAACACACACCUAUAUGUAUCGUCGAUCAUCCUAAGCCUUGCAUCCUCCUCGAUGUUAGCACGAGCACCUGAAUCCAGUUGUUGAGCAUUGGUGAAAUGAUAUUUGAAGACACCCUCUUUGGAAUUUGACAAGUUUGGAACAAGAGAAUUUGACAUCACUCUUCUAAUGGAUGGGCAAUCCAAUGCCUCGAGUUGUUCUAGAAAUGGUGGAAUCGGUGGAAUGCAUUCAAGCUUUUUGCAGUCGCUUAAAUCAAGUGAUUUCAGGCUUGAAAGAUGAGCAAUGCUCUCAGGAAGGUUCACGAUUCCGCUAUCACGCAGUGACAGUUCCAUUAAUGACGUCAAGCGACCGAUGUGUCUUGGGAUUUCUGUUAAUUUGGCACACCCCGAACAAUCAAGUUUAGAGAGAAGCUUCAUAUUAACAAUGGAGUUUGGAAGUGACUCGAGAUAAGUGCACUCUUGGAGUUCCAGGGAUCGAAGAUUAACCAAAUUGCCAAAUGAGGAAGGCAGUUCUUUAACAGCCGUACAUGUCAAGUCAAUAUGAGCAAAAGUAUGAGCCGGCUUCAUGAUCUCUGGGAAGGUCCUCAGCCUUGAGCAACCACCCAAAUCAAGCUUCCUCAAUUUCAAAUUGAAAAUGGUGCUUGGAAAAGUUUGAAGUGAAUUACAGUAGGUAAGGUGUAACUUGCAUAGUCUGGUGAGGCUUCCAAUGGAAGAUGGAAUAAUCUCAAGAUUCAAGCAACUGUGCGAACUCAGUUGUUGAAGCCCUACCAAACGGCACAAGGAUGAAAACUUAUUUUAUUUUUGCUGUUCAUGCAUAACAUUAACAAAUAUUGACAUGAGAGAUUGUGUUUGUAGGCUUCUAAGCUCACCAACGUGUCCCGUUCUUGAUGCUUUAGGGAAGAAAAUUUCCUUUGAGAUUGCAAAAGGACUCAGGAGAAUUUAGAAGUUCUGAGAUAUUUAUGAUAAGAAUUCAAGUUCUUUGUUACUAGCAGUUUAAUGGUUAUAUCAUUUUUGUUCUCUGGAAAAUAUCUGAUACAAAAUUGGUACUUAGAUUUGGUAUUUAUAUUGUUCAUAUGUAGAAAUCUAAUACUAUAGCAAAUUUUAUCUAAUUUAGAAGCAAUUAUAUUCUACUCUUUGGAAUAUGUUCUGGCCUGCUUUUAUGAUUGUAAUUAUAAAUUUAAUAGAGGAGAUUACCAAACAUCCAUACUAAUUAAACUUUUAUAUUAUAAAUUUUUUCAGUUUUAUAUUGAAAACAUAUCCCUUUAGUAUAAGACUUAAAGGAGAUGUCUUUUGGUAUAAAAACUGAAAUAAAAAAUCUUUUAACUAUAUGGGUCAAAUGGAUGAUUAAACUUAUAAAUGUACAAUUAAACUUAUAAAUUGUAAUAAACGAUACUUUAAUUUUAAACUCUAUUGAACUUUUUUUAAUGUUCUCGCUUUUCUUUUAAAUGCAUUUCACUUGUGUGUUUUGUAUUCAGGCUGAUUUUAACUUUAUUCUCAAAUAUACAAAAUAAUUUUUGGUAAUUAUCUUGUGUCGAUCUUGACUUGUAGUAUCAAUGUGAAAUAUGUAAUAAUUACUUUUCUAUGAUUCAGAGGGAAAAUUAUUCCAACUAGACUUUUACAAAUAUAUUUCAAGUGGUAAUAUGAUUUUAAAAAAAAUAGGAUUCGCCACAAAAAAAAGUUACUGUUCCUAAUUGACAUGGUGCUGUCAAAAUUAUUUAAUUACAAUUUAGAUCUUCACUCUACAUAUAAUUAAUUAAUUACCAAUUAUUUAAAAGACUAGUAAAUUAUAAUUUUAAUCUCUCUACAACUUUCUAAAUUUAGUUAUGAUUCUCUCAAAAAAAUUUCCCUUAAAUAUUAAUUAUAAUUACCUUUAGACAGAAACAUUUCUAAUUUAAACAAGCAAAAAUAAGAAAAAAAAAUAGAUUACAAAAACUAAAUUUGAAUUUUUUUAUAUAACUCCAAAUAUAUUUUAUCCAUAAAUAAAUUCUAUUAAUAUUUCAUUUCUGUUUAAAUAGUUUAUUCAUAUUUGUAAUAUUAUUUUCAAAAAACAAUAAUUGUUUUUUGAAUAAAGGUUUACAAAUUCUAUAAUAAUGUAAAUGAGAAGAGGAGUGAGGGUAAAAAUAUGAGAACCUAUGUGAGGGAAUCUUGUGACAAUUUAGCUGGUGUUCAACUUGUGAGAAGUCUUUCAACUUGGUUUUCAAGUUUUAUAUUCAAUUUCUGUUCCUUCAAAUGUUUCUGAUUUUACAGCUCCUCAGGAUUUUACAGCUCCAUGCACAAACCUAAUACAAUGAUAUGAUAUUCAAUCAGCAUUAAUUAGCAUAAACAGGUACCUUGUUGUAAAACUGGGAAUAUGAGAUUCCAUAGGAUGGAGAAAAGUAUGAAGAGGAAUUACCAAUCACCAUUUACCAAUCAUAAUGCCUUCACUACAAAUGCAACCCAAAUAUGCUAAAGAAGUUAAUGAAACUAUAUAUGAAGAGUUUCAAGAAGAUGCAACUCUGGGACAACAGAGCAACCCAUCUCAUGCUGAACACAAACAUCAAACUACAUCUAACAAUAAUUCAGAAAUCUUAAUCAACAAUUGAGCGAACCCACUCCUAAAAUGCCAUUGAGAAUGUAAAUAAAUCAAAAUACAUUAAAAACGAGAAAUUCUUAAUAAAAAUUCAACGUGUUGAACCUUGUAAUUUAGAAGUAUUAACGAGAAGCCAGUUUAGAUCCUCACCAAUGAAAGACUAUUUUACAGGUUAGCUUCCACUGGAUUCUUCAAUGUGAACAGCACCACCAUAUUUAUCAUCUUUCUUUUUGGAAUAAAGAGGGCAUAUGCCGCAUUCUUUUAUUGUCACAACUGACCACCCAAAGUCAUAAAGAGGACUGAUCUCAAAAGUGAAGCUGCGAGCAUCACACAGCCUAGGGCUUAGGGAUUCUAAGUUAAAUUUCCAGACGAAUGUGUGAUCUUUAUCAACAAAACUGUAUUCACCAUUCCAUUUGAAAUGUCUGUUUAACCUAUCAUUAUUUGGAAUGAUAUGUGUGCCAUCAUCAUCAGAUUCAAAUUUUAGGCUGUAACCAAAAGAACCAUAUCUACCUUUAACAGAAUUCGUAUCUAACACUCCAAAAACCACACACAAAGCGAAACCAGUGAGCCUAUCAUCGCUGCAGAAACUUAAAUCUUCAUUUAUAGUCACUGAAUGUCCCUUCCCACGAAAAUGGAACCAACCAGGAACUGUACUCCCUGGAAAACAGAAGAACACAGACCUAUAUCUAUCAUCGGUCAUCCUAAGCCUUGCAUCCUCCUCAAUGUUAGCACGACCACCUGAAUCCAGUUGUUGAGCAUUGGUGAAACGAAAUUUGAAGACACCCUCUUUGGAAUUUGACAAGUUUUGAACAAGAGAAUUUGGCAUCACUCUUCUAAUGGAUGGGCAAUCCAAUGCCACGAGUUGUUUUAGAAAUGGUGGAAUCUGUGGGAUGCAUUCAAGCUUUUUGCAGUCGCUUAAAUCAAGCGAUUUCAAGCUUGAAAGAUGAGCAAUGCUCUCAGGAAGGUUCACGAUUCCGCUAUCACGCAGUGACAGUUUCACUAAUGACGUCAAGCGACCGAUGUGUCUUGGGAUUUUUGUUAAUUUGGCACACCCCGAACAAUCAAGUUUAGAGAGUAGCUUCAGACUAACAAUGGAGUUUGGAAGUGACUCGAGAUCAGUGCAUUUGCGGAGCUCCAGGGAUCGAAGAUUAACGAAAUUGGCAAAUGAGGAAGGCAGUACUUUAACAGCCGUAUAUGAUAAGUCAAUGCGAGCAAAAGUAGGAGCCCGCUCCGUGAUAUCUGGGAAGGUACUCAGGCUUGAGCAACCACACAAAUCAAGCUUGCUCAAUUUCAAAUUGAAAAUGCUGCUUGGAAAAGUCUGAAGUGAAUUACAGCGGGUGAGGUGUAACUUGCAUAGUCUGGUGAGGCUUCCAAUGGAAGAUGGAAUAAUCUGAAGAUUGAAGCAACUGCGCAAACUCAGUUCUUCAAGCCCUAUCAAACGGCACAAGGAUGAAGGUAGUGCCUGUAUGGCUGUGGCGUCUAAGAUGAGCACCGCUAGAUCUUCCAACGUGUCCUGAAUCUCGGGUAAAUUUUCCAAUUUUGAGCAACCACGGAGAGAAAGUUGAUUUAUGAAUUUCAUAUCAGAAAGGUCAAUUGGAAAGAUUGUAAGAGAAGAACAGUGAGAGAGAUCUAUGUGAGAGAGCUUCUUGCCACUAAAUUGUAAGGGCACACCUUCGUAGUCUUCUGAGUAUUCUGAGUCUGUAGCAUUAUUAGCAUUUAUCUCUUUCAUCAUAUCCGGUUCCUGACGCUCCAGUAUGACAUGAGGGAGAAAUUUAUCUUCAUGUUCACCCAAUGAAAACAUAUUAAGCUUCUCACAACCGGAAACACUAAUCCAUCCUGGUGAUGUGGAUAAAAUGUUGCUGGGAAUAUUUACACUUUUGAGAUUAGAACAAUGAUCUAAACAUAAACAACUGAGCUUGGUGAGGAAUAUCGAAGAGUGAACUUCAAUCAACUUUGAACAAUAACUCAGCUUUAUUUCUUCAAUAUUCGGUGACAGAGAAAGGUCUGGUAUUCUAGUAAGUUCCCAAGAUUUAACCAGGUCGAGCCUUUUCAAGUUGGGUAAAUUCUGCCAGAAAUAGUAAAUGAAUGAGGUAACAAAUAAAAACUACUUUAUCUAUUUUUCUUCCUAUUUAAACUAUUAGCUACUAUCUAUUGAGUUUAUAUUUUACAUUACUUAAAAACCACUGUUAAAAAAACCACACUGUGGACUAACAAAACUCUGCCUAUAAAUUUUAUAGUUAUUAUAAAAAAUCACAAAAUUUAACGUCUUUUUGUUCCCUACCUAAAAUUACAUCCUAAUCAUUUGAACCUAAACUUAUUAUGUAUUCAAAAACUUAUGAUAGUAAUUUAUAAUCGAUCACAAUGUCAAAAUACUUUAUAUUAUACAUGUAUCAACUCACAAAAUAAAUGGUGUUGUCUCAGAUUUAAAAUUAAACCUUAGUUAAAAAGUCCAUCUUUCCAUAAUUUAUUUUAUUAAAUACAUAAUUUGUAAUUUAUUGUAUAUUAUAUUCAAGUUUAUGUUAUGAUAAAAAAAGUAUCUAAGGCAUUUUUAAUUAAAUAAUAUAAAAUAAACAACAUGAACUCAAUUAAAUAAUAUAAAUUUUUUUGAAUACUCGAUGGAAUAAAAAAAUUAAUAAAACCCUCAAUUUGAAAAUAACCAAAUUUAUAAGAUACUUAAAACUUAAUUAAACCUACAAAUUUUCAUUAUAUGGAAUUAAAUAUUGUAAAGAUUUACCACAUAAGUUUCAUAAGUAGAAGGUUUAAACAUAAAAUUCUUCACGUUGGGAGUUUCUUUCCUCUAUCUUAUAAGUUUUCGUUGUUUCUUUAAUAUUUUUUAUAUGGCUUCUGUCAAUGUAAUUUUUUUUUUGGUUUUAAAAUAUUAUUAAAGAUAAAAUAUGAAGACAGGGUAAUUAAAUUAAAUAUAAUUUUUAUUUUUCAGAAAUGAUGAAAAUUAUAAUUAAAUUAACUAAAUUAUAUAAAAUUCCAUUUUAUUUACAUAACUCAUUUUCAUAUUAAAAAACUAUAUAAGAUCUUCCAAAGUAGAUAUAAUACAUUCACGGGCCAUUAGAUGAUAUGCCUAAAAAAAUAUGCAAACUAUUAAAUUUAUAAUUAUCUUUAAUUAGAAACAUGCUGAGUAUGACUCAAAUAAAAGAAAUUUCAAAUCGAAUAAUGUCGAGAAGGCACAAAGGAAUUGCAAAUGAAAACUUGUAUAUGUAUAAUACAGAAAACAUGCUUGUAUAAUUUAUUUUUAUCUUUGAAAGUUUAGAACACAAAGGAACAUAGAUAGCUUGAAAAACCUGAUCUCCUUCCCAGAGUUGUUCAAGAUGGCAGAAUGGCAUUUCGAGGGUCACUAGAUUUUGUGGGCAAAAGUUUGGAGGCCAAAAUCUUUGAGGGAAAUGUGUCCAAUAAAGAAUCUUUAGAGUGUCUGGCAUAUCCACAAGAGGUGAUUCAAAAGACACUUUUAAUUCCAAUCCCCACGUGUAGAGCCUAAGCACCCUAAGAUUGUUCAUCUUUUCGAAACUUUGUGCAUGUACUACAACUUCUUUUACUUUGAAAGUAGAUAGUGAUAUACACUCUAUUGAAGUAGAUAGUGAUAUACACUCUAUUGCAUCUGACCCCUGAAAGUAAAUCAUGAAAUGUUGCAUUGCAGGAUGUUUGAUGACAGCUCAGUGGUUUGCAAUUUUUCACAAAGUAAAUCCAUUCUCAAUUGAGUAACGACAUAAUACCUUGUUCUUUCUUAAAACCUCUCAAAUUUCCUCAGCAUUAAACAAUCGGCUGCGUUUUCCAGGAUGCUGAGGACACUCUUUACGAACAAUUUCUUUACCCAUUUCUUGUAUUAGAUCGUGCAUCACAAUUCUACCAUGAAAGACAGAUAUUAGGCCCCUAUCUUUGAGAAUAUCCAUUCCAAUCUUGGAAGAGAAACCACAGUCAGCAAGUAUUUCUGCUACCACAAUCUCUUGUGACCUAUAUAAAAGCAAGCUAUGUCAAGAAAUAUAUUCUUCUCCUCCUCCUCGAGCCCAUCAUAACUUAAUUUUAAUACAUUGAAAAUACCAAGAUGUUGGCCCUUUUCCAACUUUUGCAACUGACUCUCCCAUGCUUCUCUUGUUCUUCCAUAAAGCAAUGACCCCAAAAUCUGGAGAGCUAAUGGAAUCCCUUUUGCAUAUCUCAACACCUUUUCUGACAGUUCCCUGUAAGCAAUUUCUUCUGAAGAUUUUUGUUUAAAAGCAAGUAAACUAAAAAGUUUCUGAGAAUCAUCAAAAUUCAACUCCUUAACUUCGUAGAUAUCAUCAGCUCUAGCAUUCUUAAGCACUUGUUUGUCUCUACUGGUGAUAAUGAUUCUACUGCCCUGCCCAAAACUAUCACUCCCUCUUAUUAAUUUUUGAAGUUGAGCUGAAUCGGUAACAUCAGUUAGAAGUGGAACACGUUUGUAGAAGUGGAACACGUUAGUUGGUUAGUUGCCUUAAGAAGCGGAUCAUGUAUUUUUUCUUGAACGUCUAAAACAAGGCUGCUGGAAUCAAACUGCAAUUCCAAUUUGUGAUAUAUUUGAUCACAAAUUGUAGUUUUUCCUAUUCCUCCCAUGCCACAAAUGCCUAUGAUCCGAACAUCCGGUAAGUCAAGAUGCAACAAGGACUGAAUUCCUUCAAUAUUUUUUUCAAUGCCGAUGAUUCCUUGAUCAUAACUGAUGGAAUAACGAUUCAAUUUUCUCAAAAUAUCUCCCACAAUUCCUUCAACAAGUGUGUGUUCUGACCUGGCAGAUGAUUUAGAAAAUAAAGUAUAAGUAUUCAUGCACAAAAGCUAAAACAAAACUAAAGAAAAAUUCAGAGUCAAGAAGAGUGAACAUCAUUGAAUAGAUUCACAUAUUGAUUGUAGGACGUUAUCUUCGAAUAUUAGUGUGGUUGGUUUAGAAAUUGCAAAUCAAGAUCGCAGAAAUUCUACAGUAACCGGUAGUGACUUCUGAUACUAGGAAGCAGUCUUGUAGGUACAAAGUUAAGCUAUAAGAUGUGAUAUGGUUCAGAUCUAUGACCCACUACGAAAAAUGGAAAAAAGAAACACUUGAUUUAUGGUGAGAUGAACACAAUUUUAGUAAAUGAAAAGAGAUCCUGAUUAUCUAAUAAAUAUAAUGACCUGGUGACUUUUGAAUCCCAGCCUGAAAGUCCAGCAGCUUCGGUGAGAGCAUCCUUCCAUCCUUGCACUUUGUCGUGCUUAAAGUGCUGCUCAUGCUCAUCGAAUGCUUCUUUGUAUCUUUCUUCCUGCUUCCUAAUAGUUGACGGAUCCACCUUGUAGAAAACAGGUAUGACAUCCCUUCCAUAUCUCUUCUUGCAAUCAAGUAUCUUAGUGAGUUCAUUCAAGCACCAAGUGGAAGAUGCAUAGUUUUGGGAGAAAACGACGAUAUAAAUCUUCGAUUCUUCUAUUGCAGAGAGCAGUGCAGAUGAAAUUUCUUCGCCCCGGGGUAGUGUCUCAUCAAUAUAUGCUUCUAUGUUCUUCCUUUGCAGUGCUGGAUGAAGGUGGCUAAUGAAGUUGUCACGUGUGUCUUCCCCUCUGAAGCUGAGAAACACAUCAUGCUUUGUUAGAGAAGUGGACACGGGGAAUGAUGAAGAACUUCCUGUUUAAUUUCUUCGCCCCUGUUUAAUCUGUAAUCAAUAUAUGCUUCAAUGUUCUUCCUCUGCAGCGCUGCAUAAAGGUGACUAAUGAAGUUGUCACGUGUGUCUUCCCCUCUGAAGCUGAGAAACACAUCAUGCUUGGUUAGAGAAGCAGACAUGGCCAAUGAUGAAGGGUUUCAAUUUUCUCUGCAACUCUCAGAUCCCUUUGUUUGUAAGCAACUUGCAUAUAUUCUAUUUCUAUCACAAAUCAACUUUUGGAAAAGCCUUCAAUUCAAAAUAUGCUUCACAGCUUUAUAUUAACGUGCCUAGCUUUAUACCAUUCUUACGCAUUGGUAAAGAUUCUUCAAUAUCUUUACUCAAUUUGUUUCUUCAAUACCUUUUACACAUUCUUACGCAUUGGUAAAGAUUCUUCAAUAUCUUUACUCAAUUUGUUUCUUCAAUACCUUUUACAUAUAAAGAAUCGGAUUUGUUUAAUAUAUUUUAGAAAAUAACCAGUAAACAGAAAACUAGGUUAAUAUGACUAAAUGAAUAAAGAUAGUACUCAUAAAAAAUAUUUUAGAUUACAAGUGGUAUAACUAAAAUAAAAUAUUUUAUUUUUAAAAUAAAAUUUAUAAAUAAAUAAAAAAAUAUAAUUGUUUAGUUUUCGGUGUAAAACAAUAUUCAUUUUUAUAAAAAAAAAUCUUUUCUCUUUUAUUUUAUUUUUAUAUUUCUAAUUAGAGUAUUCUUGAGUUUGACAAUAGAAUCCUUUCUUUGGACUUUUGGAAUUAAAUAAAGAUGUUAAUUGAAAAAAAAAAUUGAAAUAGAAACUAAUUUAGAAACCAAAUUUCUUUUUAGUUUCUAAAAUGGUCUCUAAUUUAGUUACUAUUGCAACUAAUUGUUUUGGUUUCUAGAAAUUGGUUUCUAUUUCAUGAUUUUCUUGUAGUGUAUACUGAAGGUGUGCACCCCUAUGAAAUGUUUUUAUUUCUAGUUGAUGUGUGAUUUCCAAUAAUUAUAUAAAUUGAUUGUUAUAUGCAGUGUGAAGUUUAACCUUGAUUUUUACUUGAAAAAAUGGAUUUUAAUAUGAGGUAUGCAUGCUCUCAUACUCAAAUUCAAUAAGCGGAAUUUUCACAUGUCAAUAGAAUUUGAACCUGCAUAGUUUUGGGCACUCUCCACCUCAAAUUCGCUCAAUGUUUUUUCCUGCGUUUAAGCGAAAUUACAUGCAGAUUUUGGAGUACUUUCGGGCUUAAAAUUGCUCAAAGAAAUUUCCCUAUGGCAAGCAAAUUUAAGCUACAAUUGUUUGGGUGUUCUUUGCCUCAAAUUCGUUGCCUCAAAUUCGUUCAGCGAAGAUUUCUCUGGGCUUAAGCCCCAACUUCAUGGGCUCGAGCCAUUUUGACAACAUUUGUCAUCUUUGCUUAGAUAUCUUUUGGUUUGUUUUCUAUAGGUCAUGAAAUUGAAUUAAAUCUUUUGAAAUUUAACAUGUGUUUAAAAUAAGUAAAUCUAACAUUUAUAAUCAUGCAACAUGUGUUUAAUUUAUAAAAAAAAUAUAAAACAAAUACUCAUUAUAUAUUCAAUUGAUAUGUAAAAUUUUAAAUAUUAUGUGAUUAUUGUUGAUAUUUUGUAACGGUUUUAAAAAUAUAAACUUCUAUAUGAUUGAAUGAUAUAUUAUCGAUACAUAGUAAUUUCAAGUAAGGAAAUACUUUGUUAAGGAUAGUUAGGAUGUGUCUUGAUUAGUAAUACAUUUAGAAUAAGAUAUUUGACUCUAUUCACAUAUUAAGGUGGUGACAGUCAAAUGAGAUUUAUAUGAUUUGAUCUACAAUAUAAAAAAUCAUAAUCUAACAUGCCAUAUGAAUUAACCUUGUCAUAUUAGGUGAUUCUAUUAUGAUAUUCUUAUUCGCAUAGAUGUGUGAAUUUCACAAUGGGGUAUUAUAACAUGUGCAAAUUUUUUAGUCUAAAUCAAUGUACGAUUCUUUCAGAAAUAGGGUCAAGUGUACAUGUGGAUCUAAUUAGAUUUUUGACAUGAGUAAUAUGGAACACAAGUCAUUUAGAGACACUUAAUUGUUUAAUAUAUUAGGAAUGAAUGAAGUGUGAUUAUUCAUAUGAUUAUGAUUGAAUGAUUCAAAUAUAAAUUUUAAAAAUCAUUAACUUAGCCUAAUUUCUUGUUAGUAUCAUUUUUUUGUUAGUAUCGUUUUUUUUUUAGAUUUGUUAUGAUCGUGAGUUACAUGUGAACAUAUGAUGUUGUAUGUUAUAGGCCUCAAAAUUGAAAAUGAGAGAGUUUUUUCUUUUAAUUCUUUUGAUGUUUUAUUUUGAUGUAUAUAUUUGAUUAUGAUAUAAUAAUAUUACAAUGUAAAUGUUAUUUAUAUACUAUCACAUGGUAAAUUAAAAUUUAAUAAGGUAGUUAAGGAUGUUAUAAUUAUUCUUUUAAUUUAUUUUAUUUCACUGUAUAUUUAGGUGUAUUACGUAAAAUGUAUAGUUAAAAAAAAUAAUGUUAUUUUGAAAUUUAAGCUUUUGUUAAAAUUAUACCAUUUGAAAAGGAACACAGAACAAUCUUGACAAUUAUACUGACUUAGUACUUAUUUUAAUUUAUUAUAUUCAUGAGUAUUAUUUUUUUCUUAAACAUAAAUAUUGGAUAAAAAAUAUAAAUAACAUUUAUUUAUUUCAAAUUUAAAAAUCUUUAAAAUAAAUAUAAAUAAUAUUUUUAAUCAAGAUGUGUUUUUUAACAAUUUUUUUUAAUUUAAAAAUAAUUAAUUCGGACGAUGAUUAAAGAAAUAUUAACAAAUUAUUUCUGCGAUUAUAAUAAACCUUCAAUAAUUUUUGCACUUUCUAGCAUAUAGAAUAUGGAUCCUUUUGUGAUUUUUCUUUUCUAAAGUACAAUUGAUAUUUUAAAUGUUUUUCUAUUUAAUUUUCCUUUCUUAAUGCACAUAAAAAUUUCAGUGCACAAUUAUUACUCACCUUAAUUCAAAAUGGAAAUUAAAAUUCAAGAACCCUACUUAUAUAUUAAUAUUCAACGAUUUAAAAUAUUAGUAUGCAAAUUAAUCUUUCUUAAUAAUAUUUGUAACAAUUUUUAAUAAUUCAAUGUGAAAUAUGUAAUAAUUACUUUUCUAUGAUUCAGAGGGAAAAUUAUUCCAACUAGACUUUUACAAAUAUAUUUCAAGUGGUAAUAUGAUUUUAAACAAAAAUAGUAUUCUCCACAAAAAUAAAUAGUUACUGUUCCUAAUUAAACAAGUCACAUUCUUGAACAAAAUAUCAAAUAACAAGGAAUUAGACUAUGAAAUGAUGACCAAUUAUAUUAAACAACAUAACAUACAUUUCUCAAUGUACACAAGGUAUAAAUAAUACAAUAUCAUCCAAAACCUGUGUUCACUAUGUAAAUAAACCAUUUUUUUUGCCAUUACCUCUUUCAUGAUGAUGAUUUGUUUACUAGGGAUUGCAAUGAUAGGUCAUGAUCAAAACUUAGGCCUAAGACUAAAAAUAGAAUGAAAUGAGCAUGAAAAUAAAGAUAACUUUUGAGUGAGACACAUUCUUCCUUACAAGCAGCAAGUUCUUCCAGGUUAUCUUCUCUUCCUUCAACCGUAGCUGUGCAACCGCCUGUUGUUCAUUGCCACCAAUAUCUCUAGUGCCAAAACUAUGUUUUCCAAAAUUAGAGUUAUAUGGCUUUAUCUGUGAAGUCUUACCAGCCAUAAUGUUUUAUUUUACUGUUUUGUUGUAAUCAUGCCAAUAGAUAAAUCGUGGAUUUGUAAACCACGAAACACCAUUGAGUAUGCAAAUGGGUUGAAUGUGUUUUUGGAUAUUGCAUUUCAACAUGCUAAUGGUCCUGUAAUUAAGUGUCCAUGUGCAAAGUGUGGUUUCAAAAAGUGACAAACAAGGGAUGUAAUCCAAGAACACUUAACAUUUACAACUUUCCCUCAGAACUACAAAACUUGGUAUUUGCACGGUGAAAGACCAAGUGUAAUUGAGCCUAUGGUCACUACAAGUGUGCAUGUCAUUGAAGAUUUAUUUGAAUCUCAAAAUACAAUGGAAGACAUGUUGAAUGAUGCAUUCGAGUUUGCGGGACAUGAUGAGGAUACUGAAGUUGAUGGUUUGCAAACUAAUAUGGUGGGUGAUGAAGGAAUAUGAACUUUGAUGAAUUGAUGAGGGACAAUAAUGAACCCUUAUAUGAAGGUUGUACAAAGCAUUCGAAGUUAUCAUUCAUGUUGAAGUUGUACCAUAUCAAAUGCAUGAGUAGAAUGAGUGACAAAGCAAUGACCAUGAUUCUAGACUUGCUAAUGAACACAUUUGAACAUGCUAAGUUUCCUAACUUGUUUUAUGAGGCGAAGACUGUGAUUACCAAACUUGGACUUAAUUAUGUCAAAAUACCAGCUUGCCCAAAAGACUGAAUGCUAUAUUGGGGCGAAGACAAUGAAGGCUUAGAAGAAUGUAAACGGUUCAAAACGUCUAAGUGCAAAAAAAAAAAAAGAUAAGAAGCAAUUGCAUUACUUUCCAUUAAAACUGUGAUUGCAAAGAUUGUUUAUGAGUUCUAAGAUGAUUGAGUCUAUGACAAGGCAUGCAUCAAAGGAUAAUCAAGAUGGAUUGAUGAGGCAUCCUAGAGAUUCUGAGGCUUGCAAAUCAUUUUAUUGCAUCCAGAAUUUGUAAAUGACCAUUGAAAUGUACGAUUAGACUUAGCUGCUUAUGGCUUUAAUCCUUAUGAAAACAUGAGUAAAAACCAUAGUAUAUGACGAGUGGUUAUCAUCCCAACAAUCACCCUCCUUGGGAGUUAUGAAGCAAACAUCUUUUAUCCUCUACAUGAUAAUUUCUGGAAAACAAAUGGUAGAAAAUGACAUUGAUGUUUAUUUAAAACCACUUAUAAGCAAAUUGAAGGAGUUAAUAGUAUGAUCAUGUAAUUAUUAUUUAUAUACUAAAUAUUACGACAUAUAGUAAUUUAAAAUUUGAUAAGGUAGAUGAGGAUAUUAAAAUAUCUCUUUUAAUUUAUUUUAUUUUAUUGUAUAUUUAGGUGUAUUAUGUAAAAUAUAUAAUUAAAAAAAAUAAUGUUAUUUUAAAAUUUAAAGAAUCACGUAUAGAAAGAAACAUAUAACAAUCUUGACAAUUAUAUUCUGACUUAGAGAUACUUAUCUUAAUUUAUUAUAUUCAUGAGUAUUAUUUUUUUCUUAAACAUAGAUAUUGGAUAAAAAAUAUUAAUAAUAUUUAUUAUUUAAAUUUUAGAAAUAUUUAAAAUUAAAAUUAAAAUUAAAUAAUAUUUUUAAUUAAAAUAUGAAAAAAAUUCCUUAACAAUUUUUUUAAUUUCAAAAUAAUUAAUUCAGAGGAUGAUUGAAAAAAUAUUAACAAAUCAUUUCUGCGUUUAUAAUAAACCUUCAAUAAUAUUUGUACUUUCUAUCAUAUAGAAUACUUAAUGGAUCCUUUUGUGAUUUUUCUUUUCUAAAGUACAGUUGAUAUUUUAAAUGUUUUUCUAUUUAAUUUUCAUUUCUCAAUGACAAAUAAAAUGGUUCAGUGCACAAUUAAUUAUUCUCACCUUAGAUUUCAUUCAUCUCAUUCCAUUUCCACACUCAAAUCAUUCUCACAUUUUUUUCUACCUAUUUCACAAAGUUUUUGUUAAAAUAUGGAAAUUAAAGUUCAAGAACCCUACUUAUAUUUCAUAUUCAACAAUUUAAAAUAUUAAUAUGCAAAUUAAUAUUUCUUAAUAAUGUUAUUUUUAUGUAAAAAUUAAAAUGUAGUUUAGUCAUUCAUACUUAGAUGGAUAAAAAUGGUUUUAGAAAGAAAAAAAUAUGCAUUUUUUUGAAAGGUUAUCUAAACUCUAAACUCAUUGAUGAAUUAAUAAUAAUAAAUAAUAUGGAAUUCUAUACGAAUAGCAUAUAAAUGUUUUCUUGUUGAAACUGAUAAUUAAUUCAGUCUAGGGACAAUUAUCGCGGUAUUUGUUCUUUUAUUUUUAAUGUUUAAACAAUUAUAAAAUUCUGUUUUUAGAUAUUAAAAUGAUAGUUUUCAUUUACAGAUUAAAAUAUUACUUGUUUCUUUUAAGAUUUUUUGUAUUAUAAUUAUUUGUUGUCUGAAUUGUUUUGAUUUAACAUGUUGUUUUCUUGGGCUAUGAUAUUGUGAGGUUUUAUUACAUGCAGGUACGUGAAUAUUUUUUUUAUCCUAGUUGUAUAAAUCAGGAAAAUUGUUUUUCACAUUAUAAUAACCGUUUAACAACUCUAAAUAAUAAUAAAAUAUUAACUCAUAUUGUUUAAUUAAAGUAUAAAUUAAAUUAUUAAAUAAAAAAGUAGUAAAACUGGUUGCAGGAUGGGAAUAUGAUUAUUUUUAACUGCUAGCUCCUGAUUAUUCUUUUCUAAUAAAAAAAACACCAAUAGCAACAAAACAAGUUUUGACACACGUAGGUUUGGCAAUUGUUUUAAUAGCUGAAAAUAGUACAACAAUUUUUAAUUACCACAAACUGCAUCUUAAAUCAUAAAAAAUUAGCAUUUUGUUAGUUCAUAUAUAAUAAAAUUUCCAUAAAACAGCCAAUUGUAUUAAUUAUUAAUAAUGUAUUUACAAUUUUUUUAGAUAAUUUUUUUACUAUAAAGACAUUUAUUUGAGAUUGAAAUUGUAAUUAACACUUUUUGGUCAAAGAAUAAUAUAUUUCACUUGAUUUUUUGUAUUAAAUAUUUUGUAUAGCGCUGAGACAAAAAAAAAUCUCAUAUAAAUCCCUAUGUGCUACAAGUACAAUAUAACAUCCUUAAUGUAAGCAAUAAAAAUGAUGAAUACUCAAAGUCGUGUAAUUACGCAAAAGAAUCAAGUGAUUUUUAAAAGAACUCACAUGAUCAGUUUAAAUUUUGACGAUAAAAUACAUUAAUUAUAUAUAUUUAUUCAAAAUUUCAAUUAUAUUAUGCAUUAAUGGUUUUAUGCUUUUAGAGGAAUCAGAGAAACUUAGAAAAGCUCCUAAAAACUAAUGUAACCCUAUGAAUAGAAGAGAGCUAAAAGAAAGAGAAAAUGGAAGUGAGAAAAGAUGAUAAUUAAUAAACACGCUCUCUUCAUAACAUAGAGUCUUUAAACCUAUAUUCCCUCAAACAAUUAUAAAGAAUUAACAAUCACACUUUUAUAAGUCAUCACCCACAUGAAACAAAACAAGGUGCCUCAAUAUGAAUAAACCAAGAUUAAUAAGAAAUAUGAGGUUUCACUAACCAAGCUCAGAAUUUUCUGCUUUUAUAGCUCCAUGCACAAACCUAAUACAAUGAUAUGAUAUUCACUGCAAAUGCAACCCAAAUAUGCUAAAGAAGUUAAUGAAACCCAAAUAUAAAGAAUUUGAAGAGAAUGCAACUCUGGGACAACAGAGCACACCAUCUCAUGCUGAACAGAAACAUCAAACUAUAUCUAACAAUAACUAUACCUAUGUUUGCUUUGGGUCUGUUUUUAGUUUCAAUGUUACUCUUUAUCUGCAGGUUGGGAACAUAUCUUGAUGAAAUAUAGAAACAUUUUUAUUCAUAAUAUAUAUAAGGAUUACACAUUCAUAAUUAUUUCUUUCUGUCGUAGCAUUGUCUACCUCAAAUCACUGCAACUUUCUGUUGUUGGUAUUUGCAUAUCACGAUGGUUAUUGAGAAAUUUAGGAGUUUGCUGUUGUGUACCAGAAGUAAAAUAGAAGGUUCAUUUUUUGGUCAUCAUCAAUUAUUAAUGUAAAUAGAUAUAGGUGAAGGAGAUCAGUAUUAUGCAUUGUAUCAUGGACCAUUAGAAGACUAGGGUCACCAAUUGGAGGCAUUGGUAACUUUGGCUAGUAAAACUAAAACCAAAGUCCAUUUUUACAAAGCCUUGGUCUAAUUCACCUUAUAGCUGUACUUUUUCCUCCAUUUUAAUAAUAUUAAGUUUUCAUUUUCUAUGCAUAAUCUUGGGUAAUUUUCUUUUUAUAUCAAUGCUUGAAGUGUCAAAUUGUUACAAGCUGGAUUAUUAAGAAAGAAAAGAGUGCAUUCUGGAUGCUCGAAAGGGAGUGUUUCCUAGAAAAAAAAUGUGAUUUCAGGGUGUCCAGGCUCAGGUAGCAAUGGUAGGAGUUCCACAUUGAAAUGGAUGAACUACUUGAUUUAGUACUUUGGGACUCUCUCACCUAAUGGACUAGUAUUUUGGGUUAGCUUCUCUCCCCUUAAUGCUUAAGUCCUAAAAAACAGUUUUUCUGUUUCUAUUUAUCUUUUAGGGUGUGAUUAGGACCAUGAAGCAGUGGGUGUUUUUUCCAUUAAUGAACUUUGCCACUGCCACAGAUCACCUAGGUUAACCUAAUUAAGUCUUCUGAAUUGUAUUUUGUAAUUAAUUCUUGUAAAACAUGGAGUGUAAAAUUCAUGUACAUUUUUCUUUUCCUCUUUUGAUUUGGAUGUCAAACUAGCAACUUCAUGUUUUGUCUGGUUGGUCUAUCACAUUUAUGUAGGUUGUAAUCUAUUUUGCCUAAUGCAUCAGUUGCAGAUAGGUACUAAAUUAUCUUAGUUCGGAUACACCUUGCCAAUUAGAUUAAGAUCAAGAAUUUAAAGUGAAUGGUUCACUUCUGAGUUCUUAAAUGAGAUAAAAUGUUCAGAGAUACUAAAUCAUCGCCUUCAUUUGAAAAUUGGCGUGCCUAUUAUGCUUUUGAGAAAUAUUGAUCAAACCAACGGUCUUUGUAAUGGAACAAGGUUGCAAGUUAUUGAUUUGAAGAAAAUGUUAUUUGUGCAAUAGUUCUAACAGGAACAAAUAUUGGUGAUAAAAUCUUCAUUUCAAGAAUGAAUUUGAUCCCUUUAGAUGUAGGUAUGCCAUUCAAAUUCCAGAGAAGACAAUUUCCAAUAGCUUUAUGUUUUGCAAUGACAAUUAAGAAAAGCCAAGGUCAAUUAUUGACCAAAGUUGGUUUAUAUUUUUCACAUCCAAUUUUCACACAUCGAUAGUUGUAUGUAGCUAUUUAUAGAGUUCGAAAGAAAAAAGAUUUAAAAAUUCUAACUCUUGAUGAAGAUGGAAUGCAACAAACAAGAAAAAGAAAAUGUUUACACUGAAAUUUUUGACAAUAUUUGAAAACAAUAGAAUUAUAUGAUAAACUUGGAAUGGCUAAUUCUCCCUGCAACCAAUAUUUUUGAACCUGCAACUUUUAAAUUUUUGAAAAUGCUCUUUAUUCCAGAAAUGAAAAUAAUACAUUACAAAAAAAAUAGAUCCAAAAAAGAUUAUUGUGUUUUGGUAAUAAAAAUCGGAAAACAAAAAUCAAAAGCCCAUUAUGAAUAAGAAAAUUCGUAAUACAAAAAAUUUGGUCUUAAAAACAAAAUCUGAAAACAUAUUCCAGAAAGAAAAUCCGAAAUGUAUUUUUAUAUAUAACCCAUUUUUUCAAGGGAGUUUCGUCUUUUCUAUUGUAAAAGGGGUUGGAAUUUGCUCCCUUGGAAUUAUAGUUUCUUAUGUGUGAUGUAGUAACAGUUGCCUUAUUUAAAAUGUUACUAAAUAACAUAUAAUUUAUAUCUGUUAUUUUUAUUCUGUUAUGACUUUAUAUAUUUGUCACAACAUGAAUGAGGCACAAACCCAUCUCAUGUUAACGAAGUUGAGAAUUUUCUGAUUUUACAGGUCCAUGCAAAAAUCUAAUAUAAUGAUAUGAUAUUCAAUAUCAAGAGGUACUUGUCGUAAAACGGGGAAUAUGAGAGACUCCAUAGAAUGAAGAAAAAGUAUAAAGAGGAUUUACAAAUUAACCUUUCAAAUGCAGCUCCUCAGAAUUUCAUAAUGCCUUCACUGCAAAUGCAACCCAAAUAUGCUAAAGAAGUUAAUCAAACAAUACAUGAGGAGUUUCAAGAAAAUGCAACUCUGGAACAACAGAGCAACCCAUCUCAUGCUGAACAGAAACAUCAAACUAUAUCUAACUUAGAAAUCUUUGUCAACAAUUGAACGAACCCACUCCUUAAAUACCAUUGAAAAUGUAAAUAAAACAAAAUAAAUUAAAAACGAGAAAUUCAUAAUAAAAAUUAAACGUGUUGAACCCUGUAAUUUAGAAGUAUUAACGAUAAGGCAGUUUAGAUCCUCACCAAUGAAAGAGACUAGCUGACUAGGUAGCUUUCGGCCUUCCUCUUCCUAUCUUCCCUUGUUUCUCUUGAAGACUCUGCAAUAUUGCUUCCAUUGGAUUGUUCAAAGUCAACAGCACCACCAUAUUUAUCAUCUUUCUUUUUCGUAUAAAGAGGGCAUAUGCCGCAUUCCUUUAUUGUGAUACCUGAUUUCAACCGAAAGUGAUAAUCACACGGACUGAUAAGUGAAGCUGCGAGCAUCACAGAUUCUAAGGCUCAUGCCGCUCGCCCUUAGGAACUCCAAGUUAAAUUUCCACACGAAUGUGUGAUCUUGAUCAACACAUCUCUCUUCACCAUUCGAAAUAGCUGUUUAACACAUCUAUCAUCGCUGCAGAAACUUAAAUCUUCAUUUAUAGUCACUGAAUGUCCCUUCCCACGAAAAUGGAACCAACCAGGAACUGCAGUCCCUGGAAAACAGAAGAACACAGACCUAUAUCUAUCGUCGGUCAUCCUAAGCCUUGCAUCCUCCUCAAUGUUAGCACGACCACCUGAAUCCAGUUGCUGAGCAUUGGUGAAAUGAAAUUUGAAUACACCCUCUUUGGAAUUUGAGAGGUUUCGAACAAGAGAAUUUGGCAUCACUCUUCUAAUGGAUGGGCAAUCCAAUGCCACGAGUUGCUUUAGAAAUGGUGGAAUCUGUGGGAUGCAUUCAAGCUUUUUGCAGUCGCUUAAAUCAAGCGAUUUCAAGCUUGAAAGAUGAGCAAUGCUCUCAGGAAGGUUCACGAUUCCGCUAUCACGCAGUGAUAGUUCCAUUAAUAACGUCAAACGACCAAUGUGUCUUGGGAUUUCUGUUAAUUUGGAGCACCCCGAACAAUUUAGAGAGAAGCUUCAGAUUAACAAUGGAGUUUGAAAGUGACUCGAUAUCAGUGUAUUUCUGAAGCUCCAAGGAUCGAAGAUUAACGAAAUUGCAAAAUGAGGAAGGCAACUGCGCAAACUCAGUUGUUGAAGCCCUACCAAACGGCACAAGGAUGAAGGUAGUGCCUGUAUGGCUGUGGCGUCUAAGAUGAGCACCGCUAGAUCUUCCAACGUGUCCUGAAUCUGGGGUAAAUUUUCCAAUUUUGAGCAACCACGGAGAGAAAGUUGCUUUAGGAAUUUCAUAUCAGAAAGGUCAAAUGGAAAGAUUGUAAGGGAAGAACAGUAAGAGAGAUCUAAAUGACAGAGCUUCUUGCAACUAAAGUGUAAGGGCACACCUUUCAUGAAUUUUGUCAACACUUCUAAGUAUAUAGUAUUAUUAGCCACUUCUUCUUCUUCAUUAUAUCUGUCAAAAGUAAUUGAGGAAGUUGGGAAAAUAUGACCACUGUAUGCACGAGGUUCACCACGCCGUCCUGCACCAUGCCGUUCUGAGAAAUUUAUCUCUUUGAUCAUAUCCGGUUUCUGGCGAUGGAAUCUUGAGAAAGUUUGACGUUGACGCUCCACGCUCCAGUAUCACAUGAGGGAAUCUUGAGAAAUUUCCACGUUGAUGCCCCAGUUUCUGAUGUGGGUAUCUUGUGACGCUCCAGUUUCACAUGACGAAAUCUGGGUUCACUGGUUGAAAACAUAUUAAGCUUCCCACAACAGGAAAUAUUAAUCCAUCCUUGUAAUGUGGAUAAAAUGUUGCUGGGAAUAUUUAUACUAUUCAGAUCAUAACAAUUAUCUAAACAUAAAUAACUGAGCUUGCUGAGUAAUAUCGAAGAGUGAACUUUAAUCAACUUUCCACAAUAACUCAGAAUUAUUUCUUCAAUAUUUGGUAAGAGAGAAAAGUCUGGUAUUCUAGUAAGUUUCCGAGAACCACUCAGGUCAAGCCUUUUCAAGUUUGGUAAAUUCUGCCACAAAUAGUAAAUGAAUCAGGUAACAAAUAAAAACCACUGUUAAAAAAAUCACACUCUGAACUAACAAAACUGUGGCUAUUCACUAUCAACAAUCCCUCUCAAAUACACUUCUACUAAUACAUUAACAACAAUAUCAUUAUAUUAACCAUAAAAUAUUACAUUUCUUCAGUUAAUACGUAGGACAAUAUAAUAAUCAGGUCACUCAGCUAAUGAAAAAAAUUAAACAACAUGAACUCAAUUAAAUAAUAUAAAACUUUUGAGUACUAGAUAAAAUAAGAAAAUUAAUAAAAAUUCAAUUUGAAAAUAAUCAAAUUUAUAAGAUACUUAAAACUUAAUUAAACCUACAAAUUUUCAUUAUAUGGAGUUAAAUACUAUAAAUAUUUACCACAUAAGUAGAAUGUUUAAAUAUAUAUUUCUUCACGUUGGAAGUUUUUUUCCUCUAUCUUAUAAGUUUUCUUUGUUUCUUUAAUAUUUUUUAAGCCAAUGUGAUUUUUUUAAUAUAAAAUAUUAUUAAAGAUAAAAUAUGAAGAUAGGGUAAUUAAAUAUAAUUUUUUAUUUUUUAGAAAUGAUGAAAAUUAUAAUUAAAUUAACUAAAUUAUAUAAAAUUCUAUUUCAUUUACAUAACUACUUUUCAUAUUAAAAAAACUAUAUAAGAUCUUGAAACUAUAAUUAAUAUUUCUACUCAUUUUUCGUUUUUGUUGGUGAAAUCUUGAUUUUGGGAUAGUAUUAGUGAGAUAUUGUUUGGAGUUAAAAACAAGAAAUUCUUUUGCAUAAUCAAUUUGAACAGUUUUGAUUUUGAAACCAGAUUUUCAGAGAAGAGUUUAAAGCGUUCAAAUGCAGCAAGAGCUUGAGAUUUAGCAUGCUAGAGAUAAAUUCAUGUAUAUUUUAAAUAUGCAUUAGGAAAAGAGAUAUCGUAUGAUGCAACAUUAUUAGCACAAACAACAAACAGCAGAACGUCCCCAAAUAUCAAUAUAGAUAAAUUCUAAAAGGUGAUUAUCCACACUGUUUUAGAACAACUUUGAUUACAGAAAAACUAUAACGCCCAAGUCUAUUAUGCCACAAGUGAAAAGAAGUUUUUUCAUAUUUAAAAGAUGUGUAGUUAGCAGAAAAAACAGAGGAUCAGAGAUCAAGAAAGACAGAGAGAUCAUCUUUAAGUGUGCCUUGUAGAAGAAUCUGUUUAGUUACUUAGUCUUUAACAUAGCAAGAAUGAGGGUGAAAUUCAAAAAACACAUUGUUGUUACGAGCAAACUUUGAAACACUAAGCAAAUUCUUAGUAUAAUGAGAAACAUGUAAAAGAUCAAGGAGAGAGAAGGAAGUACAAGAGGUAGACGACACACAGGAAGCAGAACCAAUGUGGGAGAUUUUUAUACCUGCACCAUUACCAAGUUUAACGUUCGCAAUGCCAUGAUAGAUUUGUUGAUCAUUGAACAGAGUAUGGUCGUUUGUUAUAUGGUGAGAGACACCGCUAUCUGGGUACCAUAAUGGAUCUUCUAAAGAUGAUGGUGGACCAAGAAGAGAGUAAGAAGAGUCAUCACGUGGAGGUGGAGAGAAAUGAGAUGUGUUUGCAGAGGAGGAUGGUGGUGUAGUACGAUCAAACCAGUGCCAACAAUGAAGAGCAGUGUGUCCAAGUUUGGAGCAUAUUUGACAGCGAACAGGGUUGCGUUUCCAUGAUGAAGACGUAGUGGAGUUCCAAGAAGAGUAUUGGGAAGGUCGGGGUUUGCCGCGGUUGAACUGAUUCUAGUUAGAUGUGGGAUUGUAACCACGACCACCACAGGAGGAGUUGGAAAAGGGGAGGUGGAGAGAAAUGAGAUGUGUUUGCAGAGGAGGAUGGUGGUGUAGUACGAUCAAACCAGUGCCAACAACAAUGAAGAGCAGUGUGUCCAAGUUUGGAGCAUAUUUGAGAGCGAACAGGGUUGCGUUUCCAUGAUUACGACAGUAAUAAAUGUAUUAUAUUCUUCAGAUAGCCUUCAAGGAUGAUGUCAAUAUGAUCAGUGGAAACAGGGGCAUCAAUAGCGGCAAGCAUGUUGACGGCGUUCUUGAUAUCAUGGAGAUAGGAGGAGAUGGAUCUGUGAUGACCUGAUUUUGUUGUUGGUACCAUUAGAGACUUGGGGACUGUCAUCAGUGGUGGAAGAAGUGGUUCUUGAUGGAACACUAGUGUCGUCAAGAAAAUGACCCAGUUUGAGCCCGCAAAUGGAGGCAAGGACUUGAUGUUUCCAGAGAAGAUAGUUAUCUUCAUCUAGUUUAAGAGUGAUGGGUGUUGUGAACUGUUGAACGGAAGGCAUGACCAGAGGUAACGGGCAAGAAGAAGAUGCAAAAGAAGAUGAAGAGAUAUGAGUGCAGUGCAUUAGAAUAGAGAGAGAAAGGAGAAAGAUAUUAUCUUAGUAUAUGUGCUAAAGGUAUAUAAGGAGUGCAGAACUGGAAACACUUACAAAGUUGUCGUUACACAGUUAUAGUAUGGUUAACAAUGUAUAAUACAGAAAACAUGCUUGUGUACUUUAUUUUUAUCUUUGAAAGUUUAGAACACAGAGGAACAUAGAUAGCUAGAAAAACCUGAUCUCCUUCCCAGAGUUGUUCAAGAUGGCAGCCUGGCAUUUCCAGGGUCACAGUCUGGCAUUUCCAGGGUCACUAGAUUUUGUGGGCAAAAGUUUGGAGGCCAGAAUCUUUGAGGGAAACCGUUCCAAUAAAGAAACUUUAGAGUGUCUGGCAGACCUACAAGAGAUGAUUCAAGAGACACAUUUGAUAUGAAUAUAGGCAUGUAGACCAUAAGCAUCAUAAGAUUGUCCAUCUUUUCGAAACUUUGUGCAUGUACUACAGCAUCUUUUACUUUGUUCGUAUGUAGUAAUAUACACUGUAUUGCAUCUGACCCCUGAAAGUAAAUCAAUUUAAUUAGGAGAAAAAAAACAUGAAAUGUUGCAUUGCAGGAUGUUUAAUGACAUCUCAGUGGUUUGCAAUUUUUUACAAAGUAAAUCCAUUCUCAAUUGAGUAACGACAUAAUACCUUGUUCUUUCUUAAAACCUCUCAAAUUUCCUCAGCAUUAAACAAUCGGCUGCGUUUUCCAGGAUGCUGAGGACACUCUUUACGAACAAUUUCUUGACUCAUUUCUNNNNNNNNNNNNNNNNNNNNNNNNNNNNNNNNNNNNNNNNNNNNNNNNNNNNNNNNNNNNNNNNNNNNNNNNNNNNNNNNNNNNNNNNNNNNNNNNNNNNGAUCCAUCUUUUUCUGCUGCUACCAUGUCGAACUCCCUUCAAAUCAAUACAAUGUCUUCACCAUCAAUCAGCCAAGUGAUUAAUGUUAAACUCACACAAGAAAAUUAUUUAUUGUGGUCUGCUCAAAUCCUUCCCUAUUUACGUAGUCAGGGGCUGGUUGGGUUUGUGGAUGGAUCCAUGCCACCACCAAACCAAACGAUUACGGUUGAGUCAAGUGAAGAAACAGGGAGCCGCAAAAUCCUGAAUUCACAGUCUGGUACCCCCAGGACCAGCUGGUACUCAGUCUCAUCAACUCAUCGGUUACCGAGGAAGUUCUCAGCACGGUGGUCGGAAUCACCACUGCACGAGAAGCCUGGGAUAUGCUGGAGCGGCAAUUUGCCUCCACAUCUCGAGCACGAGCAAUGCAGAAUCAUAUGGAACUCUCCACGAUCCAAAAGAAGGACAUGACAAUUGCUGACUAUUUUCGUAAAGUAAAACGUCUCGGAGACACUCUGGCUGCCAUUGGCAAGCGAGUAGAGGAUGAAGAACUCAUCGCCUACAUGCUGCAAGGACUUGGUCUAGAUUAUGAUCCUCUUGUCACAAGCAUUACAACUAGAACAGAUGUUUACACUGUCAGCGAUGUGUAUGCUCAUAUGCUGAGCUACGAGAUGCGUCAUCUGCGUAAUGGUACUCUUGAGCAAUUUCCUUUUGCUAACAAUGUCAACAGCAUGUCUAAUCGAGGAGGAACUAAUGGACGUCGUGGUGGUCGUGGUCGUCAAUCAAAUGGUGGUCGAGGACAAACAUGGCACACUAGAAACAAUUCUGGACGUCAGCCAUCAAAGGCACAAAGUAACUCAGACAAAGUCUGUCAGAUUUGUGGUAAGCCAAACCAUGAUGCUUUGCAAUGUUGGCACAGAUUUGAUCAGGCAUAUUAAGCCGAAGACAAUCUUAAACAAGCAGUUGUGGCCACAAGUGGAUAUACUGGUGAUGCAAACUGGUACGUAGAUACUGGAGCCACAGAUCACAUCACCAACGAGUUAGAAAGACUUACCACCAACGAACAUUACAAUGGCACUGAUCAGAUUCAAGUUGCAAAUGGCUCAGGUUUUUCUAUCUCUCAUAUUGGGAACUCAUUAAUUUCUGGUUCAUCUAGAUCUCUUGUACUGAAACAUAUCCUAUAUGCUCCUAAAAUCAAUAAACAUCUGAUUUCAGUACAAAGACUAGCAUCUGAUAAUAAUGCCUUUGUGGAAUUUCACCCACACUGUUUUUUUGUUAAGGACCGAGCCACGAAGGAACUUCUGCUCACAAGUAGAUGUAAGAAUGGCCUCUACACUUUACCAAAUAACUCCAGCAAAGCAUUCCCGACAGCCAAACUUUCGAAAGAACAAUGGCAUAGAAGACUUGGGCAUCCUGCUUUCCCAGUCACAAUUAGAAUCUUGAAAAAUAAUAACUUAGCUCUAGAUACUAGAGUUUCUUCUUCCUUAAUUUGCCAUGCUUGUCAACUAGAAAAGCACAUCAAUUACCCUUUGUUUCUUCUCAACAUGUAUCUACAGCACCUCUUCAAUUGAUUCAUACUGAUGUAUGGGGUCCAGCCAUUGUCUUAGUGAAUAAUUCUAAAUAUUAUGUUUCAUUUGUUGAUGAUUUUAGCAGAUAUGUUUGGAUUUAUUUUUUGAAAUACAAGUCUGAUGUUGAGUCUGUGUUUCAUCAGUUUCAAAAACAUGUUGAAACCAUGCUAAACACCAAAAUUCGCUCUGUCCAGUCAGAUUGGGGGGGUGAAUACCAUCGUUUGCACCAAUAUUUCAAAACAACUGGAAUUGAGCAUCGUCUUUCUUGUCCUCACACACAUCAGCAAAAUGGGUUGGUAGAAAGAAAGCACAGACACAUUGUGGAAACUGGCCUUACUUUACUUGCCCAAGCUAACAUGCCUUUGUCCUAUUAGGAUGAAGCCUUCAAUACAGCUUGUUACCUUAUAAAUAGACUACCAUCUCGAAUCAUACAAGCAAGACACACCACUUCAUAAAUUAUUUGCAAAAAAUCCAGAUUACACCAUGCUUAAGGUGUUUGGCUGUGCUUGCUGGCCCAAUUUAAGGCCUUACAACACCAAGAAACUGAGUUUUCGAACCACUAAGUGUGUCUUCUUAGGCUAUAGUUCUUCUCAUAAGGGAUACAAGUGCUUAGAUAGAAGUACAAAACGAAUUUACAUCUCUAGAGAUGUAAUCUUUGAUGAAAAUGUGUUUCCUUUUGAAGAAUUAAAUUCUAAGUCAUCAAUCCAAACCAAAAAUUCACACCAGCCUGCUCUACUUCCAACCUUCGUUAAACCCGUUCCAUACACUGAAAAUGCUCUCACAAAUAUUGAACCAGUUGUUAAUGAUUCUCGUAUAAUUGAUGGUCAAUCUAAUGAUGUUGCUAAUAACAACUUGUCUGGUAUAAGCUUACAUCCUGCAGAUAAUACAAUAAGUCCAGAAAUUGUUGCAGAACAGGAAGCUGAGAACAGUCUGACCAAUUUCCAAGAACAGAUGUUCNNNNNNNNNNNNNNNNNNNNNNNNNNNNNNNNNNNNNNNNNNNNNNNNNNNNNNNNNNNNNNNNNNNNNNNNNNNNNNNNNNNNNNNNNNNNNNNNNNNNGAACAAGAUUGAAAAAUAACAUUGUCCAAGCAAAACAGUUCACUGAUGGUACUGUCAGAUAUUCAGAGACCUCAAGAAAGUUUACCGGUGCUGUCACUGUCAAAAAUCCGACCACAAUAAAUGUACUAAAAAAUGCUACUGAGACUGAUACAGUUACUGAACCUCAAAACCUGCAGGAAGCUCUACAAAGUCCAGGUUGGCAGGAAGCAAUGAAUAAUGAGCUCUCAGCAUUACAACACAAUGAGACUUGGGAUUUCGUUCCACCAAAACCUGGCAUAAAUCUCAUUGAUAGUCGAUGGGUGUAUAAAGUGAAAAGGAAAGCGGAUGAAUCAGUGGAGAGAUUGAAAGCAAGGUUGGUUGCUAAAGGGUUCAAGCAAAGAUUUGGCAUUGAUUACAUUGAUACCUUUAGCCCCGUGGUCAAGCCAUCAACAAUCAAAGUUAUUCUUUCACUAGCAGUAACCAAAGGCUGGAAUAUGAGACAAGUUGAUAUCCAAAAUGCAUUCUUGCAUGGAAUUUUGGAAGAGGAAGUGUACAUGCGACAACCAUCGGGAUUUCAAGACCCAUAUAAACCAAAGGAAUACAUAUGCAAACUCAAGAAAGCGCUUUAUGGCCUGAAACAGGCUCCAAAGGCUUGGCACUCAAGACUGACUGGAAAACUUAUGGAAUUAGGCUUUAGAGCUUCUGUAGCUGAUUCAUCUUUGUUUAUCCUCAAAAACAAAGAGGUAACCAUCUAUAUGCUCAUAUACGUUGAUGAUAUAAUUAUCGUGAGCUCCUCUGAUCAAGCCACCGAAAGGUUGAUUCAGAAGUUGAAAAUAGAUUUUGCUAUAAAAGACUUAGGUGGUCUUGAGUAUUUUCUGGGUAUUGAAGUCAAGAAGGCAAGAGAUGGCAUCACANNNNNNNNNNNNNNNNNNNNNNNNNNNNNNNNNNNNNNNNNNNNNNNNNNNNNNNNNNNNNNNNNNNNNNNNNNNNNNNNNNNNNNNNNNNNNNNNNNNNAAAUUAUUCAAAGAGCAGGGAACACUCUUGUCAAUUGAAGAACAAUUUAAAUACAGAAGUACUGUGGGAGCAUUGCAAUACUUGACAAUGACCAGGCCUGAUUUGGCAUUUGCUGUCAACAAGGUUUGCCAAUACCUUCAUACGCCUACUGAUGCUCAUUGGAGUGUUGUAAAGAGAAUCCUUCGUUAUGUCAAGGGCACAUUAGAUUUGGGAAUCAGAAUUCAGAAGUCUCCAACAAUGCUGCUGUCCGGAUUUUCUGAUGCUGAUUGGGCUGGUUGUCCUGAUGAUCGACGUUCAACUAGCGGCUUUGCUGUAUUUCUUGGAGCAAAUCUAAUUUCUUGGAGCUCUAGAAAACAAACCACAGUGUCCAGAUCGAGCACCGAAGCAGAAUACAAGGCCAUUGCGAAUCUGACAGCAGAAAUGAUUUGGAUAAAAUCAUUAUUGAAAGAGCUUGGUGUGUAUCAAUCAAAAGCUCCUCGACUCUGGUGUGACAAUCUAGGAGCUACAUACUUAACUUCAAAUCCAGUGUUUCAUGCAAGAACAAAACAUAUUGAAGUUGACUUCCAUUUUGUUCGAGAACAAGUGGCACGCAAAGCAAUGGAAGUUCAGUUUAUUUCAUCAAGUGAUCAAGUGGCUGAUAUCCUAACAAAACCACUGUCUAGAACUCUCUUUAUUACACAUUGUAACAAUCUCAACAUGUAUAAAACCUGUUGGGAUUGAAGGGGACUGUUAGAAUUAGUCAGUUAGAAGUGGAACACGUUUGUAGAAGUGGAACACGUUAGUUGGUUAGUUGCCUUAAGAAGCGGAUCAUGGAUCCAACCGUGUAUGCAAUCAGUUACCUUUCUUUAAUUAUAAAUACAAUACGUCCUCCACAUAGAGAGGUACAGUUAGCAAACUUUAUUAGAGCUGAAUCGGUAACAUCAUCAAGAAUGAGGAGAACCUUUGUCCGUUUGAGCCUUUCAUUGUAAUAUGGUGAAGAAGAGGAUUUCUCUUCCUUUAGAAGCUCAGACUGAUAUUUUGUUCUGAUACUGUCUAUUCCAUCUCUUUGUAUUUUUUCUUGAACGUCUAAAACAAGGCUGCUGGAAUCAAACUGCAAUGCCAAUUUGUGAUAUAUUUGAUUACAAAUUGUAGUUUUUCCUAUUCCUCCCAUGCCACAAAUUCCUAUGAUCCGAACAUCCGGUGACUCAAGAUGCAACAAGGACUGAAUUCCUUCAAUAUGUUUUUCAAUGCCGAUGAUUCCUUGAUCAUAACUGAUGGAAUAACGAUUCAAUUUUUUCAACAAGUGUGUGUUCUGUGCUGGCAGAUGAUUUAGAAAAUAAUGUAUAAGUAUUCAAGCACAAAAGCUAAACUAAAGAAAAAUUCUACAGCAUCCGUUUGUGACUUCUGAUACUAGGGAGAAGACUUGUAGGUACAAAGUUAAGCUAUAACAUGUAAUAUGGUUCAGAUCUAAGACCGACUAAUAGAAAUGAAAAAAGAAGCACUUGAUUUAGGGUGAGAUGAACACAAUUUUAGUAAAUGAAAAGAGAUCCUGAUUAUCUGGAAAGUGCGUGACCUGGUGACUUUUGAAUCCCAGCCUGCAAGUUCAGCAGCUUCGGUGAGAGCAUCCUUCCAUCCUUGCACUUUAUCGUGCUUAAAGUGCUGCUCAUGCUUUUCGAAUGCUUCUUUGUAUCUUUGUUCCUGCUUCCUAAUAGUUGAUGGAUCCACCUUGUAGAAAACAGGUAUGACAUCCCUUCCAAAUCUCUUCUUGCAUUCAAGUAUCUUAGUGAGUUCAUUCAAGCACCAAGUGGAAGAUGCAUAGUCUUGGGAGAAAACGAUGACAUAAAUCUUUGAAAAAUAAGUAUGAAAUCUAGAUAUAUAUCAUUAUCACGUGUGGAAGCUACGUCGUCUUGUAUUGGAUUUUCUAAUCUGCCUUUUAUCUUGUCUCAUUCUUCUUUAUCUUUUUUCUCUCAUCUCUCUUGCUUACGAUUUCUUUGCCUUUAUUCAGAAAUUUUAGUUAUAAUAAACCUUCAAUAAUAUUUGUACUUUCUAGCAUAUAGAAUACUUAAUGGAUCCUUUUCUGAUUUUUCUUUUCUAAAGUUCAAUUGAUUUUUUAAAUGUUUUUCUAUUUAAUUUUCCUUUCUUAAUGACACAUAAAAUGGUUCAGUGCACAAUUAAUUAUUCUCACCUUAGAUUUCAUUCAUCUCAUUCCAUUUCCACACUCAAAUCAUUCUCACAUUUGUUUCUACCUGUUUCACAAAGUUUUAGUUAAAAUAUGGAAAUUAAUGUUCAAGAACCCUACUUAAUAUUAAUAUUCAACAAUUUAAAAUAUUAAAAUGCAAAUUAAUCUUUCUUAAUAAUGUCAUUUUUAUGUAAAAAAUAAAAUGUAGUUUAGUCAUUUAUACUUAGAUGGAUAAAGAUGAUUUUAGAAAAAAAAAAUGCAUUUUAUUUCAAAGGUUAACUAAACUCUGAACUCAUUUAUGAAUUAAUAAUAAUAAAUAAUAUGUAAUUGUAUUCCAAUACCAUAUAAAUUUUUUUUAUUGGGUGCGUUUCUGAUGAAUUAAUGCACUCUAGGGACAAUGAUCGCUCUAGUAUUUGAUUUUUUAUUUAUUUUAAUGUUAAAAUUAUAGCUAUGUAGUACAGAUAUUACUGACACAGACAGACACGAACACGGACACAGAAAUACAUAAAAUCUCUAAAAUGUAGAAUACGGAGACAUUAAUCUAUAUAUUAUAUAAUUAUGAAUCAUAUAAAUUAACAAUAAAGAUUUAUGUGCACAAGUAUUUUUGAGAUUAUUUUUUAGAACAGAAAUAUGUUUUUCAUGACUAGUUCACAAAUAUUUGUUUCUUAUUCUUAUAAUCAUAAUAACAAUUUAUACCAUAAAGUUUCAAUUUUAGAAAAUUAAUGUAUUUUUUCUUUUUAAAAUUUCGUUAGAACUGUACUAGAAUUGUAAAAAAUCUAACAAAUACAUUUUGAAUUGGACAUUCCACGAAUACGUGUCCUACCAGUAUUUUGAACAACAUUCUUUCUUUUGGAACAAAGAGGGCAUAUGCCGCAGUCUUUUACUGUGAUAACUCAUUUCAACUCUCACACAACUGAUUCGUAAUCUGUGGGAUGCAUUAAAGCCUUUUGCAGUUAAAUCAAUAGUAUAUGAUGAUGUGAAUGUUAUUUAUAUACUAAAUAUAAUCACAUAGUAACUUCAAAUUUGAUAAGGUACAACAUGUUACCAUAUCUCUUUUAAUUUAUUUUAUUUCAUUAUAUAUUUAGGUGUAUUUAAUUUCUUUUAUUUCAUUGUGUAUUUAGGUGUAUUACGUAAAAUAUAUAAUUAAAAAGAAAGAAGAAUAAUGUUAUUUUGAAAUUUAAAGAAGACAUAUAGAAAUAAACAAGCUUUUGCUAAGAUUCCACCAUUGAAAAGGAACAUAGAACAAUCUUGACAAUUAUACUUUGACUUAUUUUAAUUUCUUAUAUUUAUGAGUAUUAUUUUUUCUUAAACAUAGAUAUUGGAUAAAAAAUACAAAUAACAUUUCUUUAUUUCAAAUUUAAAAAUAUUUUAAAUUAAAAUAAAAUAAUUUUUUAAUUAAGAUAUAACAAAAUAUUCUUUAACAAAUUAUUUUAAUUUCAAAAUAAUUAAUUCAGAGGACGAUUGAAAAAAUAUUAAAUAUUAUAAUAAAGCUUCAAUAAUAUUUGUACUUUCUAGCAUAUAGAAUACUUAAUGGAUCCUUUUAUGAAUUUUCUUUUCUAAAGUACAAUUGAUUUUUUAAAUGUUUUUCUAUUUAAUUUUUCUUUCUUGACACAAAAUGUUCAGUGCACAAUUAAUUACUCACCUUAGAUUUCGUUCUUCUCUUUCCAUUUCCACACUCAAAUCAUUUUCACCUUUUUUUUCUUCUUAUUUCACAAAACUUUAAUUAAAAUAUGGAAAAUAAAGUUCAAGAACCCUGCUUAUAUAUUAAUAUUCAAAAAUUUAAAAUAUUAAUAUGCAAAUGAAUAUUUCUUAAUAAUUUUAUUUUGAUGUAAAAAAUAAAAUGUAGUUUAGUCAUUCAUACUUAGAUGGAUAAAGAUGGUUUUAGAAAAAAAAAAAGAAUAUGCAUUUUAUUUGAAAGGUUAUCUAAACUCUGAACUCACUGAUGAAUUAAUAAUAAUAAAUAAUAUGGAAUUCUAUUCCAAUACCAUAUAGGAUGGAGAAAAGUAAGAAGAGGAUUUACACAUUACCCUUUCAAAUGGAGCUCCUCAGGAUUUCAUAAUGCCUUCACUGCAAAUGCAACCCAAAUAUGCUAAAAAAGUUAAUGAAACUAUAUAUGAAGAGUUAAUGAAACUAAAUGGCGUGUGCUGAAAUUUUUGAUCCGAUAACCAUGCCCACAUUCAAAAAGUGAAAGGUUACUUUGCUUUAUAUUCCUUUGGGUGGUGCUACUUUUCAACUUGACAACAAAUUCCCAUUAUUGUGUGGUUAUCAAUUACCAUUUAACUUAUUCUCAUACCACAUUCACUAUAUAAUAGUCCAUCAUAAACCCCAAAAUUUGCACAUUUUCUAUUUGCAAGACAUCCAACAGACAAAGAAAACAUGUGAAACUGUGUAAUAAUGUGAGAACGUAAGAACUUACUUCAUCAUGAAAUCAAGCCAUGCCUGAGGGUUUUUUCUGAGAGCAUUCACCACAGGUGCAUAUUCAUGUGGCUGUAUCCCAUACUCAGCUAGUAUUUCUGCUACCUCUGCCGCUUCUUUUUUUGUCAAAAAACACAUAUUCAUUAUUAAUGUGCAAUCAAAUGGUAACGAAACUAUGUAGUACAAACACACACUGAUACGACACUAGGACGAACAUACGUAUAAUGUUACUCCUUCUAUGGAAAUGAAGGAUAUUCAGCAAUAACUUUUAAAACUCAUUACAUAGAAAUUUGCAUCAAGUUAUCAAAGUCUAUAGGAAUGAAUUUUCAAUUCAUGGAAACACAGAUAACAAAAAGUAAUAGAAAAAUAGAAAAAAAGUUGUCAAAUGAUUCUAUAAAAAAUUAACCUAUCAUGAAAAUCAAGAUGAUAGAAAAUAAAAUAAUGUGGCAUGAACAUCAAAAUCGUAUAAAAGCAUAAUAGAAGAACAGUGGAUACCAGUUUCUGGCACGGCGAUGAUUUCUUCUUGCUCUCUUUUCAAUUCCCUCGAGUAAUUAUCGGCUUCACUUUUUGCUGCCAAAUAACUGCACAAUGAAAAUUAACAUGAAAUAAUAACGGAAUUUAAAUUGAGUUUUGUGAGUGUGAAGAGUGUGGUUGAACGUACCCGCCGAGGCCCAUGGAGAUGGCGCCGGCGGCGACUUCCGCUAUGCCAGCGGUGAGAACGAUGGAGGAGGUGACAUUGGCGCCGGAGAGGCCGGCGGCGAGGGCGAAGGGGACGGUGAGGCCGUCGGAAACGCCGAUGAUGAUGUCGCGGACUAUUUCGCCGGCGGUGAAGUGCUUCUCGGUGUGGUGGUUGAGAAGGUUCGUUCUCUCAGAAUCCACGCUUAUGCCGUGUUCGGUGGCGGCCAUUGGUGCAAGCUUGUGAAUGUGUUUGAGUUCGCCAACGUGCUCUGGGAAUCCAAACAAAGCCUUGCUGCUUUGCACAUAAAUUGAGCCUCUUUUGUGCUCAACUUACUCCUAAAUAGAACAAAAAUAUCUAACCGUUGAUGAUAUCCACGUGGAAAAUUAUCAAUGGAUAUCAAUAUCACAUUAUUUCUACACUAAUAUUUUAAUUAUUUUUAAAUAUUAUAACUAAAUCAAUCAAUAUAAUACCAAAUCUUCUUAAUUCUUUGGAUUAUAUAUAUUUUAUUUUAUUUUAUUUAUAAAGGAAGUUGUGAUAAAUGUUGUGUUUUGUGUGCACAUUAAUAAAAAUCAAAUAACCAAAAAAUAAUAAUCUUGUGAAAGAAAAAAUGGUAGAAUUUAUACUAUUCUACAAAAUUUUAAAAGUGGCUAAUGUGUUUUACUCAACUAUGUAAAUAAUUUUGGACUCUCUUGUUAAGGAAAUAAUGAAAUACAUUAAAUUUUGUUUUAUACUCUUACUUUAAGUUUUUUUGUGUUUCUCCUGACUUAAUUAAAUAUCAGAGAGUCGUCUUUUGCAGGUAGAUUUCAUUCUAUCAUAAUAUACCAACUGAAAACUUGUUUUCUGAAAAACACACGGCUCUCACCGAAUUGCACUUUCCAAUUUUUUUUAAUAGAAAUAAUAAUAAUUAAGUAUUUGUGUUCUUAUAUUUAAUUUUUAAUAAAAAAAUUAUUCUUAUGUACUUCUAAAUUGAUAUAUUUUACCAAUGUCUAUUAACAAUGGGAAGAAGUUUAUACCUAACAAAACUAUUUAACAUGAUUUGUUUGUAAAUUAUAGAAGUAUGUGUAGAAAGAUAUAAAAUUAAUGUUUUAAGAGAAAUUUAAGCAACUUUCAUAAUAUAUUGUAGAUUAUUAGUUGAAUUUAUGGAAAUUAAAAAUAAAUUGUAGGUCACCACACUUCCACUUUUUUUUAAUGAUAUCAAAUCACAACUUUACAAUUUUCACUAAUUUUUAACCAAUAACAAAAGAACAUCUUAGAAGAAGUGUGUUUAAGAAUUUGAUGUUAACUCUCAUUGUUUUUUAAACUUAAAUCCAGCUUUAUUCUUCAACUUUUAAUUUUUAUACAUAUUUAAUUGUAUAUAUAGUUUUUAACUCUCUAAAAUCAAACAAUUUUAAUUCAUUAAAUAGGCAAUGUCAUGAGUGUUAAACUUUUAACAUUUUUCUAGUAAUUAAAUUACUUAUGAAGAUUCAACUAAUUCAAAAUUUAAUAUUUUUACAAUUUUUAUUAUAAUAUUCUUAAAAUAUAUUUUAAUAUUUUGUUUUUCAUGUUUGAAAUAUAAAUGUUUUAAAAAAUCAUUUUAAAUUAUUUUGUUUCUCAUCUUAUGUAAUAAAUUACUAUAAUAAUUACUAAAACAUUUAAUACCUAUACAUUUUUAAUGAGCAAAAACUAAUAAUGAAUUAUAACAAAUAAAAAACGUUUCUGGGCAACAAAAUAGUAAUUAAUAUGAAUUAUAACAAAUAAUGAACGUUUUGUGGUAAUUUGUUUCACUUUCAAAUAAGUUAGUACUUCGCCUGUUAUUUCAUAACGGUAGUUUUUUUAAAUAUAUUAAGAAAAAUGUUUAUUUUUUUAUUUUUAAUGCACUUUUAAGUAACUUGCCUAUUAUAUUAUAUUAUAUGGGUAUUAUAUAUAUAUAGGUAAGCACCAAAAAAUAAAUUUAAGGUAAAAGUGAUAUAAUUAAAAUAAAAUAAAUUAUUAUUAAAUAGAAAAUAUAUAUAAUUAAAAAAAUCAGUUAUUUAAGUUUUAUUUUAAAAUAAUUUUUGUAAAAAAAUUUUCUUUUUUUCCUUGUUCACGAUUUUAAAUUUUAUAUUCACUUGGUAGACAUGUUUUGCAUGUGGUGUUUGGGACUUAAAAGAAUAAUAUAUGUUAGUUCAAGAUCCUAAUGAUGUGUUUUUAAGAAGUUGGACUAUCUUUGUUUUUUUAAGAAGUUGAAGUCUUUUUAUGAAUACUUAUCUUUUUAAACAGGUAAGAUAAACUAGUUUUAUCUGUAAAACUUAAGUUAGAAUAUCUGAAUAUGAAAUGUGAUUCUUCAUAUGAUUAUGAUUGAAUGAUUCAAAAUUCAAGUAUAAAGUUUUAAGAAUCAUUAACUUAUGUUUUUUUUUUUGUGCUAUUUUUUUGAUUUUUUGCAAUGAUUGUGUGUUGCAUGUGAGCAAAUGAUGUUACAAGUUGUAAACCUAAAAAAAAAUCAUGAAAUUUUGUCUUUUUUAUUCUUUUGAUAUUUUAUCUUAAUGAUAUAUAUAUAUAUAUAUAUAUAUAUAUAUAUAUUUAAAAAUCUCUAUAUGAAAGGAUAGUAUUUUAUGAUAUAAUAAUAUGAUAAUGUAAAUGUUAUUUAUAUAAUAAAUAUCAUGAGAUAAUUUAAAUUUUGAUAAGAUAAAUGAAGAUGUUACAAUAUCUCUUUUAAUUUUUUUUUAUUUCAUUAUAUAUUUAGGCGUAUUUAAUUUCUUUUAUUUCAUUGUAUAUUUAGGUGUAUUACGUAAAAUAUAUAAUUAAAAAGAAAAAAUAAUGUUAUUUUGAAAUUUAAAGAAUGACGUAUAGAAAGAAACAAGCUUUUGUUAAAAUUCCACCAUUGAAAAGGAACAUAGAACAACACUCUUGACAAUUAUACUUUGACUUAGAUACUUAUUUUAAUUUAUUAUAUUCAUGAGUAUUAUUUUUUCUUAAACAUAGAUAUUGGAUAAAAAUUAAUAAAAUUUAUUUAUUUCAAAUUUAAAAAUAUUUAAAAUUAAAAUAAAAUAAUAUUUUUAAUUAAGAUAUAAAAAAAUAUUCUUUACAAAUUUUUUUAAUUUCAAAAUAAUUAAUUCAGAGGAUGAUUGAAAAAAUAUUAACAAUCUAUUUAUGCGUUUAUAGUAAACCUUCAAUAAUAUUUGUACUUUCUAGCAUAUAGAAUACUUACUGGAUUUCUUACUCUUUCUUUCUACACCUCUAUCCAUACUAAAUAUAAAAAUACCAUUUUAUUCUUUUUUCUCCACCCCUUGAAUUUGAAAUAAUAAGCCCAUGGAUUAUGUAAUCUGGAUAUAUUCCGGAUUAGUCAAUUUCAUAUUUAGAAAAGACUUUCGGAUUAUGUAAUCCAGAAGCUAAUAAAACAUCUGAAAAAAAGGCUUCCGGAUUACAUAAUCCGGAAGCUAAUCUUAUGUAUAGAAAAGACUUUCGCAUUAUGUAUUCCGGAAGCUAAUCACAAAAGACUUCUGGAUUACAUAAUCCAAACGCUAAUUCUAAAUCUAGAAAAAAGACUUCCGGAUUAUGUAAUCCGGAAUAUUAAAAAAGAUAUUUUUGAAAUACGAAAAAUUUAUGGGGGUGACACAAGAAGGUAUGGAGGUGCAGGAAGAAACAGCCUGGAUUCCUUUUGUGAUUUUUCUUUUCUAAAGUACAAUUGAUAUUUUAAAUGUUUUUCUAUUUAAUUUGUCUUUCUUAAAUGACACAUAAAAUGUUCAGUGCACAAUUAACUACUCACCUUAGAUUUCGUUCUUCUUUUUCCACUUCCACACUAAAAUCAUUUUCACAUUUUUUUUACCUAUUUCACAAAAAUUUAAUUCAAAAAUGGAAAUUAAAGUUCAAGAACCCUACUUAUAUAUUAACAUUCAACAAUUUAAAAUAUUAAUAUUCAAAUUAAUCUUUCUUAAUGUUAUGAAAAAUUUAAAAUGUAGUUUAGUCAUUCUUGGAUGGAAAAAGAUGGUUUUAGAAGAAAAAAAUGCAUUUUAUUUGAAAGGUUAUCUAAACUCUAAACUCAUUGAUGAAUUAAUAAUAAUAAAUAAUAUGGAAUUCUAUUGGAAUAGCAUAUAAAUGUUUUGUUGUUGAAACUGAUAAUUGGGUGCGUUUCUGAUGAAAUUAAUUAAUGCAGUCUAGGGACAAUUAUCGCUCUAGUAUUUCAUUUUUUUAUUUUUAACGUUGAAAUUAUAAUUAUACAAUUCCGUUUUUAGAUAUUAAAAUGAUAGUUUUCAUUUACAGAUUAAAAUAUUACUUGUUUCUUUUAAGAUUUUUUUGGUAUUAUAAUUAUUUGUUAGCUGAAUUGUUUUGCGUUAACAUGUUGUUUUCUUGGGCUAUGAUGUAAGCAAUAUAAAUGUUAUUUUUAAUGUAAGCAAUAAAAAUUAUGAGUAUUCAAAGUCGUGUAAUUACUUAAAAGAAUCAAGUGAUUUUUAAAAGAACUCACACGAUCAGUUUUAAUUUUGACGAUAAAAUAUAUUAGUUAUAUAUAUUUAUUCAAAAUUUCAAUUAUACUAUGCAUUUAUGGUUUUAUGCUUUUAGAGGAAUCAGUAACUUAGAAAAGCUCCCAAAAACUAAUGAAAUCCCAUGAAUGAAGAAGGAGAACAAAUGGAAGUGAAAAAUCAGUAAGAUGAUAAUUAAUAAACACCCUCUCUUAAUAACAUAACAUAGGAGUCUUUAAACUUAUAUUCUUCAAACAAUUAUAAGCUGUCUUCAACUUUACUGUUAAACUACAAUUAUAAAGAAUUAACAAUCUCACACACCAACAACAUUUAUAAGUCAUCACUCACAUGCAACAAGGUGUGCCUCAAUGUGAAAAAACCAAGAUCAAUAAGAAAUGAGGUUCCACUUAACCAAGCUGAGAAUUGUCUGGUUUUCCAGCUCCAUGCACAAACCUAAUACAAUGAUAUGAUAUUCAAUACCAAGAGGUACCUUGUCGUAAAACUGAGAAUAUGAGGUUGCAUAGGAUGGAGAAAAGUAAGAAGAGGAUUUACCAAUUACCCUUUCAAAUGCAGCUCCUCAAGAUUUCAUAAUCCCUUCACUGCAAAUGCAACCCAAAUAUGUUAAAGAAGUUAAUGAAACCGAAAUAUGAAGAGUUUCAAAAUAAAAAUUUAACAUGUUGAAACUUGUAAUUUAGAAGUAUUGACUAUAAGGCAGUUUAGAUCCUGACCAAUGAAAGACUAAUAAGCAGAAGAGGAAGAGACUAGUUGACUGGCUAGCUUUCGGCCUUCCACUUCCUAUCUUCCCUUGUUUCUCUUGAAGACUGUGCAACAUUGCUUCCACUGGAUUCUUCAAUCUCAACAGCACCACCAUAUUCAUCAUCUUUCUUUUUCGUAUAAAGAGGGCAUAUGCCGCAUUCUUUUAUUGUGAUAACUGAUUUCAACUCUCUCACAACUGAUUCGUAAUCUGGCCACCCAAAGUCAUAAUCACACGGACUGAUCUCAAAAGUGAAGCUGCGAGCAUCACAUAGCCUGAGGCUCAUGCCGCUCGCCCUUAGGGACUCCAAGUUAAAUUUCCACACGAAUGUGUGAUCUUUAUCAACACAUCUCUCUUCACCAUUCCAUUUGAAAUAGCUGUUUAACACAUCAUUAUUUGGAAUGAUCUGUGUGCCAUCAUCAUCAGAUUCAAAUGUUAGGCUGUAACUAAAAGAACCAUAUCUACCAUUCAUAGCAUACGUAUCUAACACUCCAAAAACCACACUCAAAGCGAAACCAGUGAGCCUAUCAUCGCUGCAGAAACUUAAAUCUUCAUUUAUAGUCACUGAAUGUCCCUUCCCACGAAAAUUGAACCAACCAGGAACUGCACUCCCUGGAAAACAGAAGAACACACACCUAUAUGCAUCGUCGGUCAUCCUAAGCCUUGCAUCCUCCUCAAUGUUAGCACGACCACCUGAAUCCAGUUGUUGAGCAUUGGUGAAAUGAAAUUUAAAUACACCCUCUUCGGAAUUUGAGAGGUUUCGAACAAGAGAAUUUGGCAUCACUCUUCUAAUGGAUGGGCAAUCCAAUGCCACGAGUUGUUUCAGAAAUGGUGGAAUCUGUGGGAUGCAUUCAAGCUUUUUGCAGUCGCUUAAAUCAAGCGAUUUCAAACUUGAAAGAUGAGCAAUGCUCCCAGGAAGGUUCACGAUUCCGCUAUUACGCAGUGAAAGUUUCAUUAAUGACGUCAAACGACCAAUGUGUCUAGGGAUUUCUGUUAAUUUGGGGCACCCCGAACAAUCAAGUUUAGAGAGAAGCUUCAGAUUAACAAUGCAGUUUGGAAGUGAGUCGAGAUCAGUGCAUUUGUGGAGCUCCAGGGAUCGAAGAUUAACCAAAUUGCCAAAUGAGGAAGGCAAUUCUUUAACAGCCGUAGAUGUUAAGUUAAUGUGAGCAAAAGUAUGAGCCGGCUCCGUGAUCUCUGGGAAGGACCUCAGCCUUGAGCAACCACCUAAAUCAAACUUCCUCAAUUUCAAAUUGAAAAUGGUGCUUGGAAAAGUUUGAAGUGAAUUACAGUGGGUAAGGUCUAACUUGCAUAGUCUGGUGAGGGUUCCAAUGGAAGAUGGAAUAAUCUGAAGAUUGAAGCAACUGCGCAAACUCAGUUGUUGAAGCCCUACCAAACGGCACAAGGAUGAAGGUAGUGCCUGUAUGGCUGUGUCGUCUAAGAUGAGCACCGCUAGAUCUUCCAACGUGUCCUGAAUCUGGGGUAAAUAUUCCAAUUUUGAGCAACCACGGAGAGAAAGUUGCUUUAGGAAUUUCAUAUCAGAAAGGUCAAACGGAAAGAUUGUAAGGGAAGAACAGUCAGAGAGAUCUAAGUAACAGAGGUUCUUGAGACUUUGAAAGUUCAAGGGCACACCUCCUCUGAGAUUUGCCGACACUUCAAAUUGUAAGUAUAGAGUAUUAUUAGCCACUUCUUCAUUAUAUCUGUCAAAAGUAAUUGAGAAAAUUUCACUGGAACUUCGGAAAAUAUGAACACCGGAUGCACAUUGCGCUUCAACUAUCAUAUUUCCACGUUUAUGCCGCAGUUUCAUAUGAGGGAAUCUGGGUUCACUGGUUGAAAACAUAUUAAGCUUCCGACAACAGGAAAGAAUAAUCAAUCCUGGUAAUGUGGAUAAAAUGUUGUUGGGAAUAUUUACACUAUUCAGAUCAUAACAAUGAUCUAAACAUAAACAACUGAGCUUGCUGAGGAAUAUCGAAGAGUGAACUUCAAUCAACUUUGAACAAUAACUCAGCUUUAUUUCUUCAAUAUUUGGUGACGUAGAAAGGUCUGGUAUUCUAGUAAGGUUCGAAGAAUGACUCAGGUUGAGCCUUUUCAACUUGGGUAAAUUCUGCCACAAAAUGUAAAUGAAUCAGGUAACACAAAAACUAAAUUAAAGUUUUAGGCAAUUUUAUCUAUUUUUCUUCGGUAAACAAUAGAUGACAAUGUCGAAAUACUUUAUAUUAUGCAUGUAUCAACUGACAAAAUAAAACGAUGUUUUCUGAGAGUUAAAAUUAAACCUUAUUUAAAAUAAGUCCAUCUUUCCAUAUUUUAUAAUUUGUUGUAUAUUAUAUUGAAGUUUAUGUUAUAAUAAAAAAAAUGACUUAAUUAAUCAAAUAAUGUGGAGAAGGCACAAAGGAAUUGCAAAUGAAAACUUGUAUAUGUAUAAUACAGAAAACAUGCUUGUAUAAUUUAUUUUUAUCUUUGAAAGUUUAGAACACAAAGGAACAUAGAUAGCUUGAAAAACCUGAUCUCCUUCCCAGAGUUGUUCAAGAUGGUUGCGUGGCAUUUCGAGAGUCACUAGAUUUUGUGGGCAAAACUUUGGAGGCCAAAAUCUUUGAGGGAAAUCGUCCCAAUAUAGAAUCUUUAGAGUGUCCGGCAGACCUACAAGAGAUGAUUCAGGAGACACUUUUGAUUCCAAUCCCAACGUGUAGAGCCUAAGCAUCCUAAGAUUGUCCAUCUUUUCGAAACUUUGUGCAUGUACUACAACUUCUUUUACUUUCCACGUACCCCAGGUAUUUAGUAAUAUACACUGUAUUGCAUCUGACCCCUGAAAGUAAAUCAAUGUAAUUAGAAAAAAGCAUGAAAUGUUGCAUUUCAGAAUGCUUAAUGACAGAUCAGUAGUUUGCUAUUUUUCACAAAGUAACAACAGAAUAUACCUUGUUCUUUCUUAAGACCUCACAAAUUUCCUCAUCAUUAAACAAUCGGCUGCGUUUUCCAGGAUGCUGAGGACACUCUUUAUGAACAAUUUCUUUACCCAUUUCUUGUAUUAGAUCGUGCAUCACAAUUCUACCAUCAAUGACAGAUAUUAGGCCCCUAUCUUUGAGAAUAUCCAUUCCAAUCUUAGAAGAGAAACCAAAGUCAUCAAGUCUUUCUGCUACCUCAAUCUCCUGGCGUCCUCUAUAAAAGCAAGCUAUGUCAAGAAAUAUAUUCUUCUCCUCCUCCUCCAGCCAAUCAUAACUUAAUUUUAAUACAUUGAAAAUACCAAGAUGUUGGCCCUUUUUCAACUUUUGCAACUGACUCUCCCAUGCUUCUUUUGUUCUGCCAUAAAGCAAUGAUCCCAAAAUCUGGAGAGCUAACGGAAUCCCUUUUGCAUAUGUCAACACCUUUUUUGACAGUUCCCUGUAACCAAUUUCUUCUGAAGAUUUUUGUUUAAAAGCAUGUAAACUAAAAAGCUUCUGAGAAUCAUUAAAAUUCAACUCCUUAACUUCGUAGAUAUCAUCAGCUCCAGCAUUCCUAAGCACUUGUCUGUCUCUACUGGUGAUA
rnacentral:lncRNA from 1 species